rnacentral:lncRNA from 1 species
UUAGGCAAGCUGUAAAAGAAAAGUUAUUUGCUGAUGCGGUUAUGGUAAGAAGUGUGCAAAAUCCGAACCUUGAAGGAAUUCAAAAAGAAAUUGCCAGAAAGUUGGGUAUGGAAGUUCAAGAAAGCGAAACUAUGUCAGUAAGAGCACCUCGUCUAUGUGACAGAGUAAAAGACAAGAAUGUUCUUGUAAUUUUAGACAACAUUUGGGAAAGCAUUGACUUGGAGGCGGUAGGACUUCCUUGUCUGCCGAAUUGCAGAAUACUUCUGACAUCCAGAACUCGAAAACUGCUAUCCUCAGAGAUGCGGUCGCAAAAAGACUUUGAGCUUCGAGUUUUAAACGAGGAAGAAGCUUGGCAUUUAUUUGAGACGAAAGCAGGUGAUGUUGUUAAAAAUCCCGACAUACGAACUGUGGCAACCGAUGUAGCCGAAAAAUGCGGAGGUUUGCCAGUUUUGGUUGUCACAGUCGCAAGCUCUUUAAGAAAUACUAGUGCUUUACCAGUAUGGAAGAAUGCCUUGAGAAGCCUAAAAGCGUUUGACUACGAAGACUCAGCCCAACAAGAAGCAUUCUCAGCUUUAGAGUGGAGUUACAAUCAAUUGGAUGAUCAAAAGCUUAAGCCACUAUUCUUGAUCUGUGGAAUUUUUGUAUAUGAUACGGGAUACGCUGAUCUGACAGACUUGUUGAAAUGUACAAUUGGUUUGGGUUUGUUUAAGAACAUCGAUUCAGUGGAGGACGCACGAUAUGCAUUGUAUGCGCGGAUUGAAGAGCUUAAAGAUUCUGGUCUGUUACUCGACUCCUAUGACAAUACAUCAAUCAGAAUGCACGAUUUGUUAUGUGAUGUUGCCAUCAAGAUUGCAUCCAAAGGCCACCGUGCCUUACUAAGAGGAAACGGAGAUGUCUUGAAGGAAUGGCCAAACAUUAAGGAGUUUUCUGAAAAUUGCACAAUGAUCUCUUUGUCUUGCAAUAUCAUCCCUGAGCUUCCUGAAGUUUUGAAAUGCCAACAACUGGAGUAUUUUUAUUUGAACGUUGAUGGUGAGUUGCUUGAAAUCCCAGGUAACUUCUUUGAGGAGAUGAAAGAGCUUAAAGUUAUGGAUUUAACCGAUGCGCGUAUUUCGUCGCUGCCUCCAUCUCUUCUUCUCCUACGAAAUCUUCGGACAUUGUGUUUGGAUAGUUGCGUGUUGGGAGACGUAGCUCUAGUCGGACAGCUAUCGCAACUAGAAAUUCUCAGCUUUAUGUAUUCUACGUUUAAAAAGUUGCCUGAAGAAAUAGGGAAAUUGACUCGUCUUCGACUGCUGGAUUUAAAGGGCUGCUAUGGUCUCGAAGUGAUUUCACCUAAUGUUAUAUCACGUUUGACAAGUCUGGAAGACUUGAGAAUGAAAGAGAGCUUCAACGGAUGGGUGCCCGAAGGAGUAAGCGGAGAAAGAAGUAAUGCUAGCCUUUCAGAACUGAAGGACUUGCCUCAUUUAGCUGCAUUAAGCAUACAUAUUCCAGAUGCUGGCAGUAUUCCGACGGACUUGUUCACUGACAAGUUAAAAAGAUACCAAGUAUUAAUCGGUGCUUGGUGGGAAUCGGAUGAUGAGGAUGAAACCCUCAACUCAUUGACGCUUUACGAAAUGCGGGAGUUGCUGUAUCUACGCAACGAGAAUUUCCCAGGGGCAGGCCCAGUUUUUCCAAACUUGGAAGUUCUGCGAGUGGUGGUAUGUCCAGAAUUGAAGGAGAUAGGGUCAUCAGCUAUUCCCUUCAAGAAUUUAACAACUUUGGAAGUAUAUGGUUGUCACAGCUUGAAAUAUUUAGCAACAUAUACGAUAGCCAAAACUUUAAAGCGGCUAAGAACAAUGACGGUUGGGGGCUGUGAAAGAAUGAGAGAAAUAGGGGCAACGACAUCAGAUGGAGAUGAUGCAGGAAAUGAUGGUGAGAUUUCUUUUUGCCAGUUGCAAAGUUUGCAACUUUUCUCUCUACCAAGUCUGCAAGAUUUCUUCUCUGGAAAUUGCAUUGUCAAAUUCCCAUGCUUGAAAACUGUAAAUAUAUAUGAAUGCCCUAAGUUGAAGAUCAACAGCUCUGAGUGGAAGAGUUCCCCAGAACUACAAGGAGUGCGGAUAACAGAACAUUAUGUGCGGUGGCCAUGAGGAUGAUGAUGUUGACUGUUGAUACAGAUGAUGGUGUUGGUGAGGGUGACAAUGUUAAUGAUGACGGAAGCUAUGAUGAUUCUAACAAAUAGAGCGAAGGUGAUGCAGAUGUUGCUGAUGGAUCGUGGUGGUCGUGGCAAAACUAAACUCAAUGUACAUAAAGAAUUAACAACUUUGCUGCAUGGUUAGUUCUCUUGUUAACAUGUUUGUUAUUUCUGUGUGUAAUGGUUUUGGGUUUUAACGAAGACAAUCUUCUGCCCAUUUUAAAUUAAAUUUCGAAUAAUUUAAAAUAAAUUUUUUGCUUGAUUUUUAGUUUUCAUAAGCUGGUGUACUCGGGCGUUGUUGCGGUGUUUGAAAUAUUGUUGGUGUAGAAAGUUUUGAAUAUAUAUAUGUGCCUAAGAGUAGCAUGUAUAUUGACGGUCUCCAAGAUCAUCUUGACGCAACAUUCUCUCCGCCAAUUUCAUCUUCAAAAUAAAAAUAAUUAAAUUAAUCACAAAAUUAAGGUGCUUUUACAUCUUCAAAAUAAAAAUAAUUAAAUUAAUCACAAAAAAUUGAAACCCUUCGAAAGCACAUAUUCUUAAUCAUAUAUCAAAAUUAAAUUCAACCCUUUGUAUCAUUUUUCCCAAAAGAUCAAACCUUUUUUUUAUCAACAUCUCUCUCUCUCUUUUGAUUGUCAAAUGGAUUGAUAAUAGAAUCAAACGAAGUAUGGGAUACCAGUAAAUUGACUCUUGAAAUUCUUUAAUUCACUUUGAUCCACGCCCACUCAUUCCUUUUUUUUCCCCCUACUUUUUGCACAAAUAUUUGUCUCUUAAUAAUAUUGUACAAAUAAUCUAUUCAAUGUCAAACCUCAAAAUGAUUAGAAACUAAACUUCAAGUGCUGAAUUGAUUAGAACUAAAAUUGGCAAUAUAGCGAUCAAAUGUUAAUGAUACAGCAAUAAUAUUUUGAAGAUAAAACAAUUAAACGUUAACAACACAUUAAAACUAUCAGCCAUUUGUACAAUUGCGAUUUGACUUUGAGAAAAGAUCCGUUUGACCAUUCUUUUUAUAGGUCCAAGUACUAUCCGUGUGAUCUAAGUAGUGUUGGUUCUUGGUACAACUAUUUGGGAAUAUAGAAACAUUUUGUAAAACAAAGAAGGCGUUCAGCAAAUACAUAAAAUUGAGUGUAAUCGGAAGUUGAAACACGAAAGAAAACAUAUGAAGAAAAACCCCUAAUUAGCAUUGAAAUUAUUGAAAGCCAAAGGACAAACCAAAAUCUUCACCUUAACUUUGCUUUCUCCCAUUAGAAUUUUCUUUGCUUUCUUGCAUAACAUUCACAAUAGUAACACCGCCUGACAGUGCUAUGAUCACAAAUGAUAAACAACAUACUAAACGGAAGUGAUGGUUUGAAUCUGGAAUCAAUGCAUACCUGAAAAGCUGAUUUAAAAUUGGUUAUGCUUUUCCCAUGCUCGUAACAUUUAUCAUUUGCAAUCAGUAAAAUUUUCCUGAUAAGGGGAAAGCAAGGAGAGUAAGUUAUAAGCAAAGUUGACAGACAAAACAGUUCGCUGCACAGAGAGACAGAGAACUUACAUCAGCUGUGCUCUCAAAUACAUAUGGUAAUCUGCAUACGAAGAAGCAGUUCUUUUUUUUUAAACCUUAAAUUCUGAUUCUAUGAUUUUGCAUUUGACUCCAACCAACAAGCAUGCUUAGAGGAUAUAUACCAUAAAGUAUAACAGUCAGUAGACGCUCAUACCACCACCAGCACAUACAACAACAAACAAUAAACAACAAAGCCUUUUCCCACUAAGUGGGGUCGGCUAUAUGAAUCCUAGAACGCCAUUGCGCUCGGUUUUGUGUCAUGUCCUCCGUUAGAUCCAAGUACUCUAAGUCUUUUCUUAGAGUCUCUUCCAAAGUUUUCCUAGGUCUUCCUCUACCCCUUCGGCCCUGAACCUCUGUCCCGUAGUCACAUCUUCGAACUGGAGCGUCAGUCGGCCUUCUUUGCACAUGUCCAAAUCACCGGAGCCGAUUUUCUCUCAUCUUUCCUACAAUUUUGGCUACUCCUACUUUACCUCGGAUAUCCUCAUUCCCAAUCUUAUCCUUUCUCGUGUGCCCACACAUCCCACGAAGCAUCCUCAUCUCCGCUACACCCAUUUUGUGUACGUGUUGAUGCUUCACCGCCCAACAUUCUGUGCCAAAAACAUCGCUGGCCUUAUUGCCGUCCUAUAAAAUUUUCUCUUGAGCUUCAGUGGCCUACGACGGUCACACAACACGCCGGAUGCACUCUUACACUUCAUCCAUCCAGCUCGUAUUCUAUGGUUGAGAUCUCCAUCUAAUUCUCCGUUCUCUUGCAAGAUAGAUCCUAGGUAGCGAAAACGGUCGCUUUUUGUGAUCUUCGCUAGAUUGCUCCGGUCAUUAGUGUGGAUAAGUAUAUAAAUGGAUAGAGAUAGGAAAGCAAACACAAGAUGUACGUGGUUCACCCAGAUUGGCUACGUCCACGGAAUAGAAGAGUUCUCAUUAAUUGUGAAGGGUUUACACAAGUACAUAGGUUCAAGCUCUCCUUUAGUGAGUACAAGUGAAUGAUUUAGUACAAAUGACAUUAGGAAAUAUUGUGGGAGAAUGAUCUCGUAAUCACGAAACUUCUAAGUAUCGGAGUGUGGUGUCGUCUUGACUUGCCUUAUCUGUCUCAUAGGUAGAUGUGGCAUCUUCUCUGGAAGUACUCUUCCUCCAUCCAGGGGUGGUAUCUUUAACUGGUGGAGAUGCACAAGGUAAUGUAUCAAUUUCACUUGAAGCUGAAGCUUACUUGUAGUUUCAGGCUUGGUCAAGCGCGAUACAAACCAUGUAGUAAGAGUCCCCCAAGUCGCCGAGCUAGGGGGUCUGCUGAAAGAGGUGACAGACAAGGUAAGCAAUCAGAGCUCCGACUGAUUGUUCACCUUCUCCCCAUCUUGCAGCAGCAUGAAGGAUAAAGAGAAGAAAAAUGAGAAGAGAUGAUAUGAGAUACUUUUGCUUUUGAAGAAGUAACUUUCCACAGGCUUAUUCUUGAACUGAGCUGGAGGGUUUUCUGGUUUCCUCCAGAGUAUAAGGCCGACUGAAGAAUUUGAGGGUCAAAACAAGUCCAUCAAAUCUAGAGUACGUUCCACCCUGCUGCUGAUAUGGGAUACUUUUGCUUUUGACAGAGUAAUGGAUGUAUCGGCACGUGUGCUGUUACGCUUGUCUCCACAUGCUUCCUUGUAUCCUUCGCACUUGCCCUAUCUGUUCCUCAAGCAGAUGCGGAAUCUUCCCUGGAAACAUAACAUGUUGAAGAUGAGUACUCGAGAGCAAUGCCAGGUAAGUAAUCAGGUAAGGGGUUCCAGGCAGUCAGUUCCUGGCUGGAAGCUUGAUUCCAAGUGCUGACUGAUUGCUCUCUUUCUCCUUGUCUUGCAGGUAAAAAACAAGGCCAAAGGAAAAGACAGGGAAAAAGCAUGAUAUGGGAUACUCUUGCUUUUAACCCUGAUGAUAUGAGAUAUUCUUGCUCUAGUAUAUAGCUUGUUUGCAGAGGUAUUAUCGGGGGGAAAGAAAGCUGAAUAUUUCGAAAGGCUUCGUUGGGAGUGCCCUCUCAGAUAUGAUGAAGGGUUGAGCAUUUUUGCAGGUCUGCCUGUCCGUUGGGGAUGGAGGUCGACAUAUAUAGGAGUCUCCCUAACAACAAGUAGUAAUGCUAUUCCUUUACCCUGCUUGGUCAUAGCACGGUAGUGGGAGCUGCCAGUUUCACAUGUCUUAACUCUGUCAGAGCACUUUGAAAAAGUGGUCUGUGGUAUCUGGCUCUCGAGAUUCGGAAAACGAUGCCUCUUCGAUUUUUGAGAAAAGCAAUCAUGCUGGGGGGUCUGGCUCUCGAGAUUCGGAGAGCAGUGUCUCUUCGAUUUUUGAGGAAGUAAUCAUGUUGGGAGUCUGGCUCUUGAGAUUCGGAGGGCGGUGCCUCUUCGAUUUUGGAGCAAGCAAUCCUGUUGGGAGUGUUGUCUCGAAUGUGAGUAAAGGUUGGGCAUGUUUGCUAGUCUACCUUGCCACGAAGCACAAAGGUUGACACACACAGGGACUUUCCAAUUAUCCAGCAAUGGUACUGUUCCUUUACCCUCUCUUCGCUUUUGAGAAAGUAGUCAUGUUGGGAGUCUGGCUCUCUCGAGAUUCGGAGGACGGUGCCUCUUCGAUUUUGGAGCAAGCAAUCUUAUUGGGAGUGUUUUCUCGAAUGUGAGUAAAGGUUGGGCAUGUUUGCUAGUCUACCUUGCCACGAAGCACAGAGAUUGACACACAGGGACUUUCCAAUUAUCCAGCAGUGGUACUGUUCCUUUACCCUUAUGGGUAAUAAUAUGGUAGCUAGACCUUCAAAAUUUAUGUGUCUAAACUUUGUUAGUGCUGUUUCUUUGCUAUUCUUUUACCUUUCUUGGUCAGAGCGAUGUAGUGGGAGCUGAAAGCUUCACGUGCUCAACUUUGGCAGAGAACUUUGGCAAAGUUAUCUGUGGUACCCAUGAGCUAUUGUUGCGUGUAACAGGUGCUGACAAGGCUAGAAAAGUAGGUGCCUCUUCGAUUUCUGAGAUCGGCCCUCGUGGUCUCUGAGCAGCCCAGCUUUUGAGAAAGCGAGCGCCUCUUCGAUUGAUUCGGAGAACGAUGCCUCAUCGAUUUUUGAGAAAGCAAUCAUGCUGGGGAUCUGGCUCUCGAAGAUUCGGGAAGCAGUGUCUCUUCGAUUUUUGAGAAAGUAAUCAUGUUGGGAGUCUGGCUCUCGAGAUUCGGAGGGCGGUGCCUCUUCGAUUUUGGAGCAAGCAAUCUUGUUGGGAGUUUUCUCGAAUGUGAAUAAAGGUUGGGCAUGUUUGCUAGUCUACCUUGCCACGAAGCACAGAGGUUGACACACAGGGACUUUCCAAUUAUCCAGCAAUGGUACUGUUCCUUUACCCUCUCUUCGAUUUUUAAGAAAGUAGUCAUGUUGGGAGUCUGGCUCUCGAGAUUUGGAGGACGGUGCCUCUUCGAUUUUGGAGCAAGCAAUCUUAUUGGGAGUGUUUUCUCGAAUGUGAGUAAAGGUUGGGCAUGUUUGCUAGUCUACCUUGCCACGAAGCACAGAGGUUGACACACAGGGACUUUCCAAUUAUCCAGCAGUGGUACUGUUCCUUUACCCUUGUGGGUAAUAAUAUGGUAGCUAGACCUUCAAAAAUUAUGGGUCUAAACUUUGUUAGUGUUGUUUCUUUGCUAUUCUUUUACCCUUCUUGGUCAGAGCGAUGUAGUAGGAGCUGCAAGCUUCACGUGCUCAACUUUGGCAGAGAACUUUGGCAAAGUUAUCUGUGGUACCCGUGAGCUAUUGUUGCGUGUGGGAAGUGGGUGAUUGAACAGUAAGAUUCAUGUGUUUUCUACUUCCCCAAAAGUCUUCGACAGAAUGCCCAUAAUUUCCGCAAAGCUGAGUGUGCGUGUGACAGGUGCUGACAAGGCUGGAAAAGUAGGUGCCUCUUCGAUUUCUGAGAUCGGCCCUCGUGGUCUCUGGGGAGCCCAGCUUUUGAGAAAGCGAGCGCCUCUUCGAUUUCUGAGAUCGGCCUUCGUGGUCUUUGAGCAGCCCAACUUUUGAGAAAGCAAACGCCUCUUCGAUUUCUGAGAUCAACCCUCGUGAUCUCUAAGCAGCCUAACUUUUGAGAAAGCAAACGCCUCUUCGAUUUCUGAGCAGGCGCCUCUUCGAUUUCUGAAGCUCCGUCAAGUGCAGAUUUUUAUAGGGGCUGGCAUUAAGUUCCAAAGCACACUUGAAUCUCCACCAGUAGAAGCUUCAUUCUUGCACUUCUAAGAUCUUGAUUUGUCCGACCUCUUCUCUCUUCAACACCUUUGAAAAUGUCUGGCCCCUCCGACCGUCGUUUUGACUUGAACCUUGUUGAAGAGGCAGCCCCGCCUUCUCCAGACAACAUAUGGCGCCCAUCCUUCGUCUCCCUUACUGGUCCUCUUACCGUUGGGGAUUCCGUGAUGAAGAAUGAUAUGACCGCUGCGGUGGUGGCCAGGAACCUUCUCACUCCCAAAGAUAACAGACUACUUUCCAAACGGUCUGAUGAGUUAGCUGUUAAGGAUUCGCUGGCUCUCAGUGUUCAAUGUGCAGGUUCUGUGUCUAAUAUGGCCCAACGCCUAUUUGCUCGAACCCGCCAAGUUGAAUCAUUGGCGGCUGAAGUGAUGAGUCUCAAACAGGAGAUUAGGGGGCUCAAGCAUGAGAAUAAACAGUUGCACCGGCUCGCACAUGACUAUGCUACAAACAUGAAGAAGAAGCUUGACCAGAUGAAGGAAACUGAUGGUCAGGUUUUACUUGAUCAUCAGAGAUUUGUGGGUUUGUUCCAAAGGCAUUUAUUGCCUUCGUCUUCUGGGGCUGUACCGCAUAAUGAAGCUCUGAAUGAUCAACCUCUGAUGCCUCCUCCUUCUAGGGUUCUGUCCAGUACUGAGGCUCCAAAUGAUCCCCCUCCGGUGCCUUCUCUUUCUGGGGCUCUACCGACUGCUGAGACUUCUCCUAAGCAACCUUUGUGAAGGCUCCCUCUUGUGUGUUUAUUUUGACUCAUGCAUAUGUACAUAUUUGUAGCUUAUCGGGGAUAUCAAUAAAUAAGCUUUCCUUCAUUUCAACGUAUUGUGUUAAAUACACCAAAGCCUUCUUCGCUAAGUUCUUUGAAUUUUCUUUUGUUGAAGCUUGUAUGUUGAAGCUUUCUGAGUGGAGCAUGUAGGUUGGGGUAGUGUUCCCUUAAUUUCCCGAGUGAGGAAAACUUCUCGGUUGGAGACUUGGAAAAUCCAAGUCACUGAGUGGGAUCGGCUAUAUGAAUCUUAGAACGCCAUUGUGCUCGAUCCUGUGUCAUGUCCUUCGUUAGAUCCAAGUACUCUAAGUCUUUUCUUAGAGUCUCUUCCAAAGUUUUCCUAGGUCUUCCUCUACCCCUUCGGCCCUGAACCUCUGUCCCACAGUCGCAUCUUCUAAUCGGAGCGUCAGUAGGCCUUCUUUGCACAUGUCCAAACCACCGUAACCGAUUUUCUCUCAUCUUUUCCUUCAAUUUCGGCUACUCCUACUUUACCCCGGAUAUCCUCAUUCCUAAUCUUAUCCUUUCUCGUGUGCCCACACAUCCAACGAAGCAUCCUCAUCUCCGCUACACCCAUUUUGUGUACGUGUUUGAUGUUUCACCCGCCCAACAUUCUGUGCCAUACAGCAUCGCCGGCCUUAUUGCCGUCCUAUAAAAUUUUCCCUUGAGCUUCAGUGGCAUACGGCGGUCACACAACACGCCGGAUGCACUCUUCCACUUCAUCCAUCCAGCUUGUAUUAUAUGGUUGAGAUCUCCAUCUAAUUCUCCGUUCUUUUGCAAGAUAGAUCCUAGGUAACGAAAACGGUCGCUCUUUGGUAUUUCUUGAUCUCCGAUCUUCACCCCUAACUCGUUUUGGCCUCCAUUUGCACUGAACUUGCACUCCAUAUAUUCUGUCUUUGAUCGGCUUAGGCGAAGACCUUUAGAUUCCAACACUUCUCUCCAAAGGUUAAGCUUUGCAUUUACCCCUUCCUGAGUUUCAUCUAUCAACACUAUAUCGUCUGCGAAAAGCAUACACCAAGGAAUAUCAUCUUGAAUAUGUCCUGUUAACUCAUCCAUUACCAACGCAAAAAGGUAAGGACUUAAGGAUGAGCCUUGAUGUAAUCCUACAGUUAUGGGAAAGCUUUCGGUUUGUCCUUCAUGAGUUCUUACGGCAGUCUUUGCUCCUUCAUACAUAUCCUUUAUAGCUUGGAUAUAUGCUACUCGUACUCCUUUCUUCUCUAAAAUCCUCCAAAGAAUGUCUCUUGGGACCCUAUCAUACGCUUUUUCCAAAUCUAUAAAGACCAUGUGUAAAUCCUUUUUCCCAUCUCUAUAUCUUUCCAUCAAUCUUCGUAAGAGAUAGAUUGCCUCCAUGGUUGAGCGCCCUGGCAUGAACCCGAAUUGGUUGUCCGAAACCCGUGUCUCUUGCCUCAAUCUAUGCUCAAUGACUCUCUCCCAGAGCUUCAUUGUAUGACUCAUUAGCUUAAUACCCCUAUAGUUCAUGCAAUUUUGUACGUCGCCCUUAUUCUUGUAGAUAGGCACCAAAGUGCUCGUUCGCCACUCAUUUGGCAUCUUCUUCGUUUUCAAAAAUCCUAUUGAAAAAGGUCAGUGAGCCAUGUUAUACCUGUCUCUCCCAAAAGUUUCCACACUUUCAAUUGGUAUAUUGUCUGGGCCUAUUGCUUUUUUAUGCUUCAUCUUUGCUUCAAAGCUACAACCACUUCUUCCAUUCCUUCCUUCCGGAUUCGACGAUAAAAAGAGUAGUUUCUACACUCUUUCUGAGUUACUCAACUCCCCUAAAGAAGCACUCAUUUCAUGUCCUUCAUUGAAAAGAUUAUGAAAAUAACCUCUCCAUCUGUCUUUAACCGCGUUCUCUGUAGCAAGAACAUUUCCAUCCUCAUCCUUGAUGCACCUCACUUGGUUUAGGUCCCUUGUCUUCUUUUCCCUUGCUCUAGAUAGUUUAUAGAUAUCCAACUCUCCUUCUUUGGUAUCUAGUCGUUUAUAUACAUAUCGUCGUAAGCCGCUAACUUAGCUUCUCUCUGACAGCUUUCUUCGACUCUUGCUUCGCUUUUCUAUACCUUUCACCAUUUUCAUCGGUCUCCUCCUUGUAUAAGGCUUUACAGCAUUCCUUCUUAGCCUUCACCUUUGUUUGUACCUCCUCAUUCCACCACCAAGAUUCCUUUUGAUGUGGGGCAAAGCCCUUGGACUUUCCUAAUACCUCUUUUGCUACUUUUCGGAUACAACUAGCCAUGGAAUCCCACAUUUUGGCUAGCUUCCCCCUCUUUAUCCCACACACAUUGGGUGAUUACCUUCUCUUUGAAAAUGACUUGUUUUUCUUCUUUUAGAUUCCACCAUCUAGUCCUUGGGCACUUCCAAGUCUUGUUCUUUUGUCUUACUCUUUUAAUAUGUAUGUACAUCCAUCACCAACAACAACAAGCGAUGUUGAUUAGCCACGCUCUCUCCUGGUAUAACUUUGCAAUCCUUACAAGUUAUACGAUCCUCUUUCCUCAUUAGAAGAAAAUCUAUUUGUGUUUUUGACGACCCACUCUUGUAGGUGAUCACAUGUUCUUCUCUCUUCUUAAAGAAGGUGUUGGCUAAGAAGAGAUCAUAUAUGCCAUUGCAAAAUCCAAGAUAGCUUCCCCAUCCUCGUUUCUCUCCCCAAAACCAUGGCCACCAUGAAAACCUCCCAUAAUUGCCUGUCUCCCUGCCCACGUGUCCAUUUAAAUUCUCCUCCUAUAAAUAACUUCUCCGUCUGAGCAAUUCCUUGCACCAAGUCUCCAAGAUCUUCCCAAAAUUUCUCCUUCGAACUUGUAUCCAACCCUACUUGAGGUGCGUACGCACUAAUCACAUUGAUAAGUUCUUGUCCUAUUACAAUCUUGAUUGCCAUGAUUCUAUCUCCUACCCUCUUGACAUCUACAACAUCUUGUACCAAGGUCUUGUCCACGAUGAUGCCAACACCGUUUCUCGUUCUAUUUGUGCCCGAAUACCAAAGUUUAAACCCUGAGUUUUCUAGAUCCUUUGCCUUACUACCAACCCACUUAGUUUCUUGUAGGCACAUAUAAUAUUAUCCUCUUCUCCUCACCAUAACUUCCACUACUUCCAUAGAUUUUCCCGUUAAGGUUCCUAUAUUCCACGUUCUUAAACGCAUUUUGCUCUCUUGAACUCUACCCUUCUGUCCUAGCUUUCACCCUUCACCCCCGUCUAAUAGGAUCAAAGUACUUCUUUUGUGUGUCCCGGGUAAAGUUGAUAGGAGCAUAUGCUCCCAAACAACUUUGAGAGUGGAGUCGUUCGAAAAGAAGUUUCUAUGGCCUCCUUGCUCAUUUAACACUGCAUCCGGGUGCCGAUGGAGAUACAGCGACCCUUGCUCACUUAUCACUGUGCUCGGGCCACACAGCGCGCCACUUACGGGUGACGCCCUAGCUUUAGCGCGAUUUUGUUCUGGAUUCAUUUUCAUAAGGAUUCGACGUGAUCAUGGAGUGCCGGCUGUCGACUACCUGACGCCCUCCCCCUCCUCCUUUAUCCGGGCUUGGGACCGGCCAUGUAAGACAUGGGCGUAUAUACCACCAGCACAUACAAACACAAAAAUGCAAAUAGAAUUUUGAUGAGGCUCGGUAAUUAUGAAAUAUCACCUGUGUUUCGUUCUCAGCAACAUUGUCUUGUGAGGAAUAGCAACUUUUAUGGUUCCGCGCAAGAAUUUUGUUCAUACUGAUCAAAACGGGAAAACAGUCAAACAUUUUAAAGUUAUAAAUUAGAGGUAAUAGAUAAAUAAAGAUAGAGAAAUCUGAGUGCGAGAUGAUAGAUGAAAUCAGAUUGAAUACAUCAACCGGUGUUAGGCUGUUUGGAUUUAACUAUGCGUACAUACAUACAUACAAAGAAGUUUUGAAAACCGAAAACGAACCGACAGAACUGAAAAUGGCUGAUCUAAUCAAUUUCGGAUAUCACAAGAAUCCACGGAUCACUGCAAAACCAACCCAAUAAUACAAUAACAAAUCAAACACAGAUCAACAAUCCCAAAACUCAAAUUCUGACGCAAUCAAAUUAAUCCCCUGUAUAGCCUAUUAAUUUCUCCAAAAUUAUAACCCUAAAUAAAAAAUUAAUGCCCAUAUCCCCAAUUUGUAAAUCCCUAAUUCAAAAGCCCGAUGUAACUCCCUAAUUCGUUUUAUAAAUAAGAAAUUGCUUACCUUAAUGGCUUGAACGCCGGAGAUAGAGCAGAGAGGAUUGUGUUCGACGGCACGGCACGGUACGGUGCGCCGCGGUUCGUAUGGAACCCAGACCCUAGCAGCUUAACACUUGAAAUUGAUUUGUUGGUUUCAAACUUCGAUUGUGUGCGAUUUGUUUGUUUGAAGUCUAGAAUUUUUUUGCGAAUUGUGAGCGACAGAGAUGAAUUUCACCUAUUUUUUUGUGAAAGGUUAGUGAAAAAGGAAGAACUCAAAAGAAAAAAAAGAAAAAAAAAAGAUAAAAAGAAAAAAAGAGAAGAAGAAAGAGUGAUGAAGAGGGGGCCAAUUGUAGAAAAUAACGAGAAUGGAAGGUUUAAAAUGAGGCAGAUUCUCUGCUCUCUCACCCCCUUCCGACUAUGUGGUAACGGUUAAAUUACGUCAACAAUUUAUAUUACUAUUUCUUAAUCGUUACCACACAAUCAAUGGUGAGUUGAAAUAAAAAAUAAAUAAAAGAUGCGUGCGAUGGAAGAAUAGAGUGGUUGGAACUUGGAUCAACACGAAGGAACCAUAAAAGAAGAAUGAUGGUGUACGUACUAAAAUUAGAGAAAAAUGAGUGAAUUUCGAAAGAUGAGGUUGGAGGGAUCCUUUAGGAUUUUACAAUAUACAAGCACAUACACCUUAUUCUAUAACGAAAGUAAUUGCAAAAUACAAGGACACUAAAUCCUAAAGAUUACAUAUUCUCACCUAGUUAGAGUUGGUUUGGUAUUGUUGUGUUUUGAAAAAAAACUGUUUCUGCUAUGCUGUGAGAAUAAACCGUUGUGAAAUAAAGCAGCAGAGUGUUUGGUAAACUUUUGUAAAAAUACUUUUGAAAAAAAAAAGGUAUUAUAGUGUUUGAUAAACUUUUAUGUAAAACAGAUAUGAAAAAGCUGAUUUUUCAAAGAUUGGUUUUGCAGCUUUGUGUUUUUGGCUUUUUUCACCCAAAACUGUGAAAAAAAAAACUGAAGCUGAAUAUUUACCAAAAAUAAAAAUAAAAAAAAGCUUAUUUUGAUAGUCACUUUUUUCAGAAUCACCUUAGUACCAAAUCAGAGCUUAAAACAUGACUCCAAUAACAUUUACAAUUAAGACUCAAAUCAACACUCUCCUUCAAGUUGAAGCAUAAAUAUCAUAUAUGCCCAACUUGAUGAUUAAGUCUUGAAAAACCUUACUAGAUACUACAUGAGUAAGAAGCUUUCAUGAACUCACAAACGGUAUAGAGACACUUUUUUUUUCAAGAUUUUCCUUGACAAAGUGUUGAUCAAUCUCCACAUGCAUAUUUAUUGUCAACUAUCACCCUUGCAGAUUUAUUGUCACAAUAUAACUACAUAGAGUUCGUUUGGAUAUGCUUUUAAAAGGACUAAAAGCGCUUUUGGUGAAAAUAUUUUUGGAACCAAUUCUUAGUAAAAAAUAUAAGUAAAUUCUGGAAAAUCAUUUAAAGUCCUUCCUGGAAGAAGUACAUAACUGGUGCUUCUUGCAAAAAGCACUUUAAGUGCUUUUGGAACCAAAAAAACAUUUUCUCUAAAAACGCUUUUAGUCAUUUUAAAAUCACAUCUAAACGAGCUCAUAGUCUCCUUUAGUUCAAAACCAAGACAUCUCAAAAGUUUACGUAAGUAAAGAAGUUCACAUAUUCUGUCUGCCAUACCUCUAUACUCAGCUUCCGCAAACGACCUUGACACCACUUUCUGCUUCUUACUAUGCCACGUAACCAAAUUACCUCCAACAAACGUAAAAUACCUAGAUGUAGAUCGUCUGUUAGUAACAUUACUAGCCUAAUCUGCAUCUGUAAACCCCUCAACUUUUAGAUGCCCAUGUUUUUCCAUAAAGUUUUUCUUUACCGGGUGCAGACUUCAUAUAUGCCAAAAUUCACAUUACCACAACCAUAUGAUCUUCACUAGGCGAGUGCAUAAACUAACUUACAACACUCAAAGCAUAUGCAAUAUCAGGACGAGUAUGAGAUAAAUAAAUUCACCUCCCCACAAGUCUUUGAUAUCUACCCCUAUCUACAAGAACCUGAUCUAGGUAAAUACCCAAGUGAUGUUCUUCUACCAUUGAAGUAUCCACAUAUUUAAAAGAAUGAGAGAAAUAGGGGCAACGACAUCAGAUGGAGAUGAUGCAGGAAAUGAUGGUUAGAUUUCUUUUUGCCAGUUGCAAAGUUUGGAACUUUACGAGCUACCAAGUCUGCAAGAUUUCUUCUCUGGAAAUUGCAUUGUCAAAUUCCCAUCCUUGAAAACUGUAAAUAUAUACGAAUGCCCUAAGUUGAAGAUCAACAGCUCUGAGUGGAAGAGUUCCCCAGAACUACAAGGAGUGCAGUUAACAGAGAAGCAACCAACAGAUUAUUGGCGGCGGUGGUCGUCAUGGUACUGAUGGCAAAACUACAUAAUAUAUAUAACGAAUUAACAACUUUGCUGCAUAGUUCUCUUGUUAACAUAUUUGUUAUUUCUGUGUGUAAUGGUUUUCGGUUUUAAUGAAGACAAUUUUCUGCCCAUUUUAAAUUAAAUUUUGAAUAAUUUAAAAUAAUUUUUUGCUUAUGAUUUUUAGUUUUCAUAAGCUGGUGUACCUGCGCGUUGUUGCGGUGUUUGAAACAUUGUUGAAGGUGUAGAAAGUUCUAAAUAUAUAUGUGCCUAAGAGUAGCGUGUAUAUUGAUGGCCUCCAAGAACAUCUUGACGCAACAUUCUCUCUGCCAAUUUCAUCUUCAAAAUGAAAAAAAUUAAAUUAAUCACAAAAUUAAGGUGCUUUUAGAGACAUAAACUUAAGAACACAAAAAACUGAAACCUUUCGAAAGCACAUAUUCUCAAUCAUAUAUCAAAAUUAAAUUCAACCCCUUUUGACCAUUCUUUUUUUAGGUCCAAGUACUAUCAGUGUGAUCUAAGUAGUGUUGGUUCAUGGUCUAAGUAGUGUUGGUUCAUGGUACAACUAUUUGGGAAUAUAGAAACUUUUUGUAAAACAAAGAAGGCGUUCAGCAAAUACAUAAAAUUGAGUGUAAUCGGAAGUUGAAACACGAAAGAAAACAUAUGAAGAAAAACUCCUAAUUAGCAUUGAAAUUAUUGAAAGCUAAAGGACAAACCAAAAUCUUCACCUUAACCUUGCUUUCUCCCAUUAGAAUUUUCUUUGCUUUCUCGCAUAACAUUCACAAUAGUAACACCGCCUGACAGUGCUAUGAUCACAAAAUGAUAAACAGCAUACUAAACGGAAGUGAUGGUUUGAAUCUGGAAUCAACGCAUACCUGAAAAGCUGAUUUAAAAUUGGUUAUGCUUUUCCCAUGCUCGUAACAUUUAUCAUUUGCAAUCAGUAAAAUUUUCCUGAUAAAGGGAAAGCAAGGAGAGUAAGUUACAAGCAAAGUUGACAGACAAAACAGUUCGAUGCACAGAGAGACAGAGACAUAGAGAGAGAGAGAACUUACAUCAGCUGUGCUCUCAAAUACAUAUGGUAAUCUGCAUACAAAGAAGCAGUUCUAAAUCAUCCAUUCAGACCAUUAAAACAGUUAUAACAUCAUCUUCACCGAUGAAGCAAAUUCUAUGGAACGAAACUUCAAAUGAAAUGCAUAUAGAUUACCUUAAAUUCUGAUUCUAUGAUUUUGCAUUUGACUCCAACCAACAAGCAUGCUUAGAGGAUAUAUACCAUCAAGUAUAACAGUCAGUAGACGCUCAUACCACCACCAGCACAUACAAACACAAAAAUGCAAAUAGCAACUUUUAUGGUUCCGCUCAAGAAUUUUGUUCAUACUGAUCAAAGCGGGAAAACAGUCAAACAUAUUAAAGUUAUAAAUUAGAGGUAAUGGAUAAAUAAAGAUAGAGAAAUCGAGUGCGAGAUGAUAGAUGAAAUCAGAUUGAAUAGAUCAACUGGUGUUAGGCUGUUUGGAUUUUACAUACAAAGAAGUUUUGAAAACCGAAAACGAACCGACAGAACUGAAAAUGGCUGAUCUAAUCAAUUUCAGAUAUCACAAGAAUCCACGAUCACUUCAAAACCAACCCAAUAAUACAAUAACAAAUCAAACACAGAUCAACAAUCCCAAAACUCAAAUUCUGACGCAAUCAAAUUAAUCCCCUGCAUAGCCUACUAAUUUCUCCAAAAUUAAAACCCUAAAUAAAAAAUUAAUGCCCAUAUCCCCAAUUUGUAAAUCCCAAAUUCAAAAGCCCGAUGUAACUCCCUAAUUCGUUUUAUAAAUAAGAAAUUGCUUACCUUAAUGGCUUGAACGCCGGAGAUAGAGCAGAGAGGAUUGUGUUCGACGGCACGGUACGGUGCGCCGCGGUUCGUAUGGAAACAGCUCGUCGGAAUUCGAAGACCCAGACCCUAGCAGCUUAACACUUGAAAUUGAUUUGUUGGUUUCAAACUUCGAUUGUGUGGGAAUUCUCUUCGUUGAUAAGAGGGUUUGGGGUUUUAUGCGAUUUGUUUGUUUGAGGUUUAGAAUUUUUUUUGCGAAUUGUGAGCGACAGAGAUGAAUUUCACCUAUUUUUUUGUGAAAGGUGAGUGAAAAAGGAAAAGAACUCAAAAGAUAAAAAAGAAGGGUAAGUACAAAAAAUUACCUCAAUUAUUGAUGUCACGAUACUUUCAUACCUCAUGUUUUUAAAAUAACAAUGUCAUACCUCAUCUUACGAAUCUGUGUCAAUGUCAUACCUCCGUUAGUUUUUCUGUUAAGUGCUGACGUGACUAGAUAUAACGAUCACUCACUAAUCCAACUAGAUUAAAAUAUAAUUAAAUAUAUAUUUUAAUAAUUAAAAAUUAAAAGAUUAAAAUUAAAAAUAUUUUUUAUAUUAAAUUAUGGGAUUCACUUCUCUCUCUCUCUCGCCUCUCUCUCUUUUCUUUGCAUCCCCAAAAUCCCAAAGCCCAGAUCCCUUCCCACCCGUCCCCCAACCUUCCUCCACCACCAUUUCUCUCUCCUUUCUCUCGCCUCUCUCUUCUCUCUCUCUGGGCAACCUACAUCCCCAAAAUCCCAAAACCCAGAAUCCCAUUACAAAUCUCAAAACCCAAAAUCCCAUCAAACCUCCAUUUCUUCCCUUUUUUUCUGUAGCAGAACAGCUGCGGGAACCGCCGAAACAUCGACAUCGCGUUGUUGCGGGAGAAGCCGAUUUUUUCUAGGUAGUCGAUUUGGGGCAGGUGCUUGUCUGCGUCCUCAUUUCCAUUCCCAUUCUCCUCAUGCCAACCAUUCUUUGUCUGCGUCCCUGGUACCAAAUUCUCAUUGCCACUACCACCUCCGCCGCCAUCGAAGUCCCUCUUAAGCAACUCUACUAGCUGCUUCUGUAUCCCCUGCUUCUGUUUCCCGCUUAUGCCCCCACUAUUUUGCCUCUUCAUAUCACCAGUCAGGUCAACGAUGCCGUUCUGGAUGGGCACCAUCGAGUCCUGCAUCCCAAACCCAUUCCAAGACGAAUCCAUAGACGGCAAACCCAUAUCCCAGUUCUGGUGUUGCGGGUCGGGUCGAGCUGGUAGAUUUUUAUCCUAGAAAUCCAGACCCAAAAUAGACGCGACCUCGAGCAUCGAGGGGCAGUAGAAAAAUCAUUUGAGAGGGGUGCGAUCGUGUGCAGCAGUGACAGAGCAGCUGCCGUGGGCGUCCCAAUCGCACUUCUGGCAGAGAAAGAGUUUGUCGGUGGAGGAGCGGAUGGAGACGGCUUCGGAAGAGCAAUUAUCACAUAUCUGAGAGCUCACGUGCUUCCAAGAGAGCAAGUUAGCGGAGUGCACGUGCUGGUCGCAGAACAAGCAGAGCUUGGUGGGGUCUGCCCGACAGUAGAGAACCGCCGACUAGUCGCUGCACCCCCUCUAAACCUCCAGAUUUGGGGCUCACCAUUUCCAAAAUCCCUAAUUUCCUACCUACUAGUAUCAAACUAUUCCAAAUUUUGCAGAAAAAUUCAAAGUUUCAAACUUUGAGAGGGAGAGAGGUGAGAGAGAGAAUGGUGGAUGAAGGUUGGGGAGGGGACGAGUGAUAAGGGUUUCUGGGCUUUGGGAUUUUGGGGAUGCAGAGAAGAGAGAGGUGAGAGAAAGAGAGAGAGAAGUGAAUCCCACAAUUUAAUAUAAAAAAAUAUUUUUAAUUUUAAUUUUUUAAUUUUUAAUUAUUAAAAUAUAUAUUUAAUUAUAUUUUAAUCCAGUUGGAUUAGUGAGUGGUCCCUGUAUCUAGCCACGUCAGCACUUAACAGAAAAAUUAACAAAAAAACUAACGGAGGUAUGACAUUGACACAAAUUCGUAAGAUGAGGUAUGACAUUGUAAUUUUAAAAAGAUGAGGUAUGAAAGUGUCGUGACACCAAUAGUUGAGGUAGUGUUUUGUACUUUACCCUAAAAAGAAAGACACAAACAAAUAGAGAGAGAGAGAGGAAGAGAAAAAGAAAGAGUGAUGAAGAGGGGGCCAGUUGUAGAAAAUAACGAGAAUGGAAGGUUUAAAAGAAAGAUGGUAGAGAUGGUUCUUUGGGGGGGAAUUAUAAGAGAAGAUCAGUGGCGGAUUGAAAUAAAAAAUAAAUAAAAGAUGAGUGUGAUGGAAGAAUAUAAAGGUGGGCACGGUCCCGUUCGGUCCGUUCCAUCCUCAAAAUAGAAUCGAAACUGAAAAUUUUCAACGGAUUGGUUCGGUGUGGUUUCGUUUAAAUUUAUUACUAAAACCGUACGGUUCGAUUCAUGACUGUUCUGGUUUAGUUCAUGCCGGUUUACGGUUCCAACCAAAAUUAUAUAUAUAUUUUUUUCUAAUUUUCUACUUCUAAUACCAAACACAUAUUUCAACCACAAAUUCAAGUAAAUUUGAGUUUCCACUACUAGAUCUACAAGAUUUGUGAUCGGAUGAUAGAAAUUGUGCAUAUAUAUAUAUAUAUAUAUAUAUAUAUAUAUAAAGAUAGAACGGCUCAUAUCGAGACCAGAGUGUAGAUCUUAAACUAAAACUAAAAUGGACAUAAUGCAUAAUAUACUGGAAAAGAAUGGAAAAAAAUAAUGUAGGGGGAGAAAAGUGAUAAAACAACAAAGGAGGGGAAGAGAAGUGAAGAAAAUAUUGGGCUUAUGCACAUGGUCUUCUUGGAAAAAUGUCUUAUUUAUAUAAAAAUAAUAAUAAAACAAUAAUUUAUAUUAAAAGAGGUUUGGUCCGGUUCCUUCGGUUCUUAAUAUUUCCAAACUGAAACCAGAACUGUUUGAAACGGUUUGGUUUUUGUUCUGGUUUUGACUUUUUUGGUCAACACGUUUUUUUUUGUCACGGUUCGAUUCAGUUUUUCGGUUUGGCGGUUUUUAUGCCCACCCCUAGAAGAAUAGAGUGGUUGGAACUUCGAUCAACACGAAGGAAACAUAAAAGGAGUCUGAUGGUGUAUGUACUAAAAUUAGAGAAAAAUGAGUGAAUUUGGAAAGAUGAGGUUGGAGGGAUCCUUUAGGAUUUUAUAAUAUAUAGGCACAUAUAUCUUAUUCUAUAAGGAAAGUAAUUGCAAAAUGUAAGGACAUUAAAUCCUAAAGAUUACACAUUCUCAUCCUACUUAAAACAUGACUCCAAUAACAUUUACAAUUAAGACUCAAAUCAACACUCUCAUUCAAGUUAGUGCAUAAAUAUCAUACAUGCCCAACUUGAUGAUUAAAUCUUGAAAAACCUUACUAGAUACUGCAUGAGCAAGAAGCUUUCAUGAACUCACAAACGUUAUAGAGACAAUUUUCUUUUCAAGAUUUUCCUUGACAAAGUGUCAAUAAUUUCCACAUGCAUAUUUAUAGUCAACUAUCUCCCUUGCAGAUUUAUUGUCACAAUAUAAUUACAUAGUCUCCUUUAGUUCAAAACCAAGACAUCUCAAAAGUUUACGUAACUAAAGAAUUUCACAUUCUAUGUGCCAUACCUCUAUACUUAGCUUCUGCAAACGACAUUGACACUACUUUAUGCUUCUUACUAUGCUAUGUAACCAAAUUACCUCCAACAAACGUAAAAUACCUAGAUGUAGACUGUCUGUCAGUAGCAUUGCUAGCCCAAUCUGCAUAUGUAAACCCCUCAACUUUUAGCUGCUCAUGUUUUUCCAUAAAGUAUUCCUUUACCGGAUGCAGACUUCAGAUAUGCCAAAAUUCACAUUACCACAACUGUGUGAUCUUCACUAGGCGAGUGCAUAAACUAACUUACAACACUCCAUCAUAUGCAAUAUCAGGACGAAUAUGAGAUAAAUAAAUUCACCUCCCCACAAGUCUUUGAUAUCUACCCCUAUCUACAAGAACCUGAUCUAGGUAAAUAUCCAAGUGAUGUUUUUCUACCAUUGAAGUAUCCACAUAUAUACACCCUAGUAAGUGUACUUCUAUUGAAAUUUAUCAAGCAAAAUAGAACUAUAAACACGAGAAUUCUUGCGAUAAACGAGACAAGAACACGUGUACAAAAUAAUAUUUGUAUUAAUGAUUUAGGGGUUACAAUCUCUUCUACAAAUUUAGCUUCUGAUUCUAUCUUUGCAAUGGGUAGAUUUGUUGAUGUGGUGUUGAUCCAAAGGGCCGCUGGGGCUUGAUCUUGAAUAACGGUUGUGCGGAUUUCUUCAAGGGGCUUUUGGGCUUAAUCUUGAAGGUUGACGGGUGAACGGAUCUUCAAGGGCCGUUGGGGCCUUAUCUUGAAGAACGGUUGGAUGUAUAGGUUUGUUGAUGUUGUUGAUCCAAAGGGCCGUUGGGGCUUGAUCUUAGGGUGAACGGACGAUGAACGAUGAACACUUUCUUCAAGGGCCGUCGGGGCUUGAUCUUGAAUUGGUGGAAGUUCUUCAAGGGCCGUUGGGGCUUGAUCUUGAAGGAGGAUUUCACGAAGAACGAAGAGAGCUUUCUUGAUUCUUCGGGAUUUGCUUGGGAGCUUUGGAGUUUCAAAGCUUCAAGGUUGUGGUGUAAGGUGAAUUGGUUAUGAAUUGGUGUCCCAAAAUGAAUGCCUUGGCCUCCUAUUUAUAGAAUUCCAAAACUUGAUUUUUUGGAUUUAAAUAAUUAGAUGAAAUAAAUCAUUUCUGCCAGGUGUUGACACGCGUCCCGUUUGAUGACUUUUCCGAUUUAUUUUGAUUUUUCGUUUAGUCACAUGCUAUGUGUAAAAUUUAUGUGACACAUAAACACUGAAAUUUUAAUUAUUAAUCAACAUUUAUUUUACCGAAAUUUCGAUGUCUACAAAUGCCCCCACUUCAAGGCGCGUCGUAUACAUGUGCUUGUCACGUGUAGAAGAUGCGUUUUGAAGUCCCUUACUGCAGAUAUUGAUCCAAGGGCCGUUGAGGCUUGAUUUUGAACUGGGUUGGUGAUUUCUUCAAGUGCCGUUGAGGCUUGUUCUUGAAUUUUGUUUGAAAUUUCUUCAAGGGCCGUCGAGGCUUGAUCUUGAACUUUGAAUUUAGACCACAAAGAGCUUUACGUGGUAGAUGACCUUUGGCUUUGGUAGUGAAUGAAUCAUCACGUAUUUCGUCAUGCUUGUUGACUUUCCACAGCUUUGAUCUUGAACUGGGUUGGUGAUUUCUUCAAGUGCCGUUGAGGCUUGUUCUUGAAUUUUGUUUUAAAUUUCUUCAAGGGCCGUCGAGGCUUGAUCUUGAACUUUGAAUUUAGACCACAAUGAGCUUUACGUGGUAGAUGAUCUUUGGCUUUGGUAGUGAAUGAAUCAUCACGUAUUUCGUCAUGCUUGUUGACUUUCCAUAGCUUUGAUCUUGAACUGGGCCGGAGGGUUUUCUGGUUUCCUCCAAAGGACUUUCCACAGACUUAAUCUUGAACUGGAUUUGAUUCAAAGGUGGUGGACACCUGAUUUUGAAUCGAACUUGUGAUUUCUUCAAGGGCCGUGAGGCUUGAUCUUGAACUUAAACAUGACCACGAGCGGUUUCAGGACCUGGACACAUGGCAGGUAGGCACAAGAUGGAGGUGAUGGUCUGUUUCUUUGCUCAAUCUUUCUGAUUCAUAUUGAAGAGGGUUAGAGGGAUGAAUCAGCACGUGCAGUUGUUGCGUCUGCUGAUGAUCCACAAGAUUGAUGCUUCAUUGUCACUCGUCUUAUCUGUUUUCCAGGCAGAUGCAUCAUCUUCUAUGGAAGUGUACCAACUGUUGAAGACGACUACUCGAGAGCAAUGUUAGGCGAGCAAUCAGGGAAGAGGCUCCAGGCAGUCGGUUCCAGAUCUGAAGGCUAACUCCAAGCGUCGCCUGAUUGCUCUUCUUUUUAUUGUCCUGCGAGUAAGAACAACGACAAAGAAAAAGGACAGGGAAAAAGCAUGAUAUGAGAUACUUUUUCUUUUGAAGAAGUAGCGGCAAUUUAAUGGCGUUGCACAGCGAGGCUUUAUUUUUCGACGAUGGUGUCGCCAAUAUGUUUGUUGAAACUUCUCGAGCUCUUGGAGUCAACUCAGACUCCUUUUGCUGGGUUGGUUGAUUAUGCAAGGAAGGGGAGACUUGAUCUUGAAGGAAAUCAGCACAUUGUCUCCACAUGCUUCAAGUUAUCAUUUUCACUUGCCUUAUCUGUUCUCCGGGCAAAUAUGGCAUCUUCUUCAGAAGUACAUCAGCAACUGAAGACGAGUACUCAAGAGCAAAGCCAAGUAAGCAACCAGGCAAAGGUUCCCGGUAGUCGGUUCCUUGCCCGGAGUUUGAGUGGAGGUUCCGACAUAUUGCUUUCUUUAUCCUUGUCUUUGCAGGUAAGAACAAGGACAAAGGAAAGGACAGGGAGAAAGCAUGAUAUGAGAUACUCUUGCUUUCUACCCUGGUGAUAUGAGAUACUUUUGCUUUCUACCCUGGUGAUAUGAGAUACUUUUGCUUUGGUGUCAUUUGUUUGCAGAGGUAUUCCAGGAGAGGAAGAAAACUGGGUAUUUCGAGAGGCUCUGCUGAGAGUGUACUCUCGGAAAUGAGAAAGGGUUGGGCAUUUUUGCAGGUCUGCCUUGCUAUGGACGGUGAAGGUGGACAAUUAUAGGAAGUUCUUUAAUACCUGUAGAGGUACUAUUCUUUCACUCGUGUUGGCAACCAUUGAGUGAUUGAUCAGUAUGGCUUCACGCGCUUUCUUCUUCAUCAGAAAUCUUCGACAAAUUGCUCGUAAUUUUCGCAAAGCUAAGUGUGCAUGUGACAGGUGCUGACGAGGCUGAAAAAGACUAGCGCCUCUUCGAUAUCUGAGAUCGGCGCUUCGACAAAUUAUCUGUGAUUUUUGCAAAGCUAAGUGUGCAUGUGACAGGUGAUGACACGUUUGAAAAAAAAAAGCAAGUACCUAUUCAAUUUCUGAGAUCGGCUCGUGGUUUCUGAGCAGCCCAGCUUUUGAGAAAGCACACUUGAAUUUUCCGCCUGUAGAAGCUCCCUACUUGCACUUCUAAGAACUUGAUUUGUCCGACCUCUUCUUUUUCUUCACACCUUCGAAAAUGUCUUGCCCUUCUGACCGUCGUCUUAACUUGAAUGUUGGGGAAGAUAGUGACAUAUCUUCUUCAAACAACAUUUGGCAGCCGUCCUUCGUGUCUCCCAAUGGUCCUCUUACGGUUGGGGAUUCUAUGAUGAUGAACGAUACAACCGCUUUGGUGGUGGCCAGAAAUCUUCUCACUCCUAGAGACACUAGGAUACUUUCCAGGCGGUCCAACGAGCUGGCUAUUCAGGAUUCUCUGGCCUACAGCGUCUGAUGUGCAGGCUCAGUUUCAAACAUGGGCCAACGCCUUCUUGCUCGAUCUCGUCAGGUUGAGUCGUUGAUGGCUGAGGUGGCCAGUCUUCGGCAAGAGGUCAGAGUGCUUAGGCACGAGAAUAAAGAGUUGCACAUGCUCGCAACUAAUUACUCAACAAGCAUGAAGAGGAAGCUUGACCAGCUGCAGGAGUCCGAAGUUCGGAUUCAGAGUGAUCAUCAGAGGUUUGUGGCGUUACUCUAGCGGCAACUUCUACCUUCGUCCUCUGGUGUUUCACCAAGUGUUGAAGCUCCGGAUAAUCCUUGAAGAUCCCUUCCUGUAAAUUUGAUUUGACUUUUUUUUAUUUUUUUUUUAUUUUUUUUUAUGUAUGUAUAAUGCAAAUUUAUGUAAAUUUCCAGGAAAAUAAAUAAAAUGGAUUUUAUUUCUCUUAAUGCAUUUUAGAUAUCAAUGGACAUGCUUUAUUUUAUUCAGUAUGUUGUGCUAAAUACAAAUAAAACGUAUAUCUGGCUAAAAUGCGUUACUUCCUUUUUAUUUUUUUAACUUAACAGUAGCUGGCACUUUUUUUAGUUGGCACUUUCUUUUUGUACAUAAUCAUAUUUUCCCAAUGCACCAUUUAGGGUAGCUGGCACCUUGCACUUUUUUGGCACUUUCUUUUUUGUACACAAUCGUAUUUUUCCAAUGCACCAUUUAGAGUAGCUGGCACCUUGCACUUUUUUUUGGCACUUUCUUUUUUGUACACAAUCAUAUUUUCCCAAUGCACCAUUUAGGGUAGCUGGCACUUUGCACUUUUUUUUAGUUGGCACUUUCUUUUGCACACAAUCAUAUUUUCCCAAUGCACCAUCCCAUCACCUCUCAUUUUGAUUUUUCUUUUCCAGGCACGAGUGGUCGUUUGCACAGUCACGGACCUGCGUUUUGAAUAGCCACCGCAUUUCAUUUGCUUCUCAUGGGACCUUUAUAUAUAUAUAUAUAUAUGGGAUUGCUCCUUUGCUUGUACACUCAUUACACAGCUUCAGCCACUGCGUUGCUUGUUGCCUUGCAUCACCACUGCACCAUUGUCCAGCAAUCCUGCGCUGCUGCUUUUACUUGGUGAGUCACUUGAGUAUAUAUAUACGGAAGGCUGCUGUUGUAGUUUGCUUUAUCACUGUUGCAGUUUGCUUUUUCACCGUGCAUACAUAUAUACAUGUAAUAUAAUGUGCUUUGCCCUCUGCAAUUCCUUCAUGCUGCUUUUACUUGGUGAGUCACAUGUGUGUGUAUAUAUAUAUAUAUAUAUAUAUAUAUAUAUGUCUUUUGAGCCGUGCAUACCAUUUCCAUAUUUUGAGCCAUGCAUAUAUGUGUGUGUAUAUAUAUAUAUAUAUAUAUAUAUAUAUAUAUAUAUUUGUCCCAUCACCAUCACCAUUUGCGUCCUUAUAUAUAUGUGGAGGUUGAUCGUCUUGUCACCAUCUCCAUUUUGUGCACUUGUCCCAUCACCAAACCAUGCACACAUAUGUCUAUAUAUAUAACGUACAAUGUGUGUGUCCCCACUGAUGGAUUUCUUUGUUUGUAAUGUCAGAUUUUUUUUUUAAUCUUGAGAAGGUAGAGCUUGACGCCAGGAUCUUCGCAAAGCUUUUAGAGCCGUGGUAGCAGGCCGUGGGUGUGCUUGUGCAAGAGACUGCAACGAGGUUUCGCUGUGUAGUGCCUUUUGGCCACAGUUUUCUCUUGGCGGUAACGUCGAUAUGCGGUGCAAGAAACUGCUUACGUAAUCGCUGCGGGUUUACGUAGUGCGAUUGCGUAGCAUUUUGGUUUCCUUUGCCAUUGUAGCGUGCCUUGAAGGACCAUCCUGUAGCUGCCAUCUUUGUCGUGCUGCUCAAGUUUUGUGGCUGAUUUGUGGUCAUGGUAUUUUUCAAAUGUUUUAGGAACAACACCAUCACCAUUCUUGCAAAGGAAGGCGAUUCACAAGAUGAGGGAACAACGUUGAAACUUUACCCGCCACUAACUGGUCCUAAGGCGCUUGCUUUUCCCGUGAAAGACAAUUCCAUGCAUAUUAAGUCAUGGUCUUCUGAAGUAUCUUGGGAGGUGGUAGACGCUGUUCAACCAAUUACGAAGAAAAAGACGUGCACAUUGAGGGUUCUUAUUUUGAAUCAUUCGCAACAUGCUCGUGACCAUCACCCGGCCUCGUUUAAGCUUCUUGGUGAUCACAUUCGCAGCAGAGCCAUGGCUUGGAAUGGUACCCUGUCGACUACUGGAGAAGUCGUCUUUAAUGAGUUUUAUUGGGAGUGGCUUGAAGAUGUCUUAAGCCGAUCUAAAGAUGUGCUUACUAAAGUGGGCAUUUACCACGCUGUGUAAGCAUCUUUGUUUAGUUAUGAUUGUCAUCCUUCCGUCCUUCGAGCGUUCUUUAAGCAUUGGUGUUCAGGGACCAACACACUUCACACGGCGCAAGGGGAGAUGUCAAUUUCACUGUGGGAUCUUCACAGGAUAGGAGGCUUGCCGAUCCAUGGUAAGUUUUAUGACGAGGUCGUUCCCAACGCGGAGGAACUUUCUCUUUGCAAUAGCCGAGGAUUACCUGCGAGUUGCCGCUAUUUGUUUUGGGCGUAUCACAAGCUUUUCCAGGACGCUCAAGGUAAAUCAGGCGUGAGGAUUUCCUCAUGGAUCCGAUUUUGGUACUGGGAGGCCAUGAGGUAUAAGAAGUCUUUGAACAAAAAUGGCCGUAACAAGACCACUAGGCCAAAGGGAGACUCAGACCCGUCUGGUGUUAUUGGCUCAACCAAGCACCGUUCUUCUGACGAGUUGAGAGCGUUUGAGGAUCUUGGCAUAGCAUCAGAGCAUGUGGAUGAGUCUUACUUAGCUGCUUUCUUAGCUUGCUGGCUUUGUAAGUUUGUUUUCCGACAGACGACGUCAACUUAAUUCGUCCUGGAGUUUUCAAAAUUGCUAGCAAGAUGGCUGCAGGUGAGUCUUUUAGCCUUGCUAUUCUAGUUUUAGCCAACAUUUACAAUGACUUGAGCAUUGUUUCGAACUCGGCAAGCACUGAAGAUCGUGUUGCGGUGCUUCCCUACCACUAUGUGUAUGGUUGGUUGGGUGAAUAUUUUGGCACCCACUUUUCUUUGAUGACUCUAGACAAGUCAAGGCAUUCUUUAUCGACUACAGCCAAGAUGGGGCAUUUGAUGGCGAAGUAUUCUGGAGUGCUCUCCGCGAAGAGCCUUAAUGAUUUGCAGGCAUGAGCGCUAUUUGAAAGUUGUGAAGAUUUGAGGAUGAACCCCUUAGCGAUAGUUGGCUCGGUGCGGCGAGGCAUCGUAGACAACUCGCAUCUCCGCUCGUCAGACUUGUCUUAUCUUAUAAGUUUUCGUUCGGGGUUUGUUUCUUUGCGGCAAGAAGACCGAUGCAUUGUUCAGCCAUAUAGUCCCCACCGUUUCAGCAGGCAAUUUGGUUUUGUCCAAAACUUGCCAGGCAAGCUAAUCAGCAUCCUUGCAAGCCGUGUAUAUGCAUUGGGAGUCUUGUACCCGUGCAUGUAUAAAUGCUGUUAUCACGCUGCCAGCCAAUGAUGAGUUCAAGAGUAAUCCAGUGACCUGCGUUUAUGCUUAUUGGUGGUCAAAGGUAUAUUAUAAGAACUUGGGGAUGGCAAGUGGUACCAAUUCUUCUCACUCGGGCAAUGAUAUGUCGAGAGAGGGCUGUCAUGUGGUUCCUAUGUAAGUGGUAGCUCUUGAUUGCACCAGUGUGGCUCCCUUACAAGAUAGACCUGUAGCUUUAGCUCCUCAACGCCCAUGCUUGUCUCCUCGACAUCCAGAUGCUUCUGAAGAGGCGGGAGAUAAAGUUGACUCGCACGAAGAUGGAUUUAUUUUGCAACAGCGUCAACAAGUUUCAAACAAGCGACCACUUGAAGAUGCUCAGGUUGACAGCGAUGUCAAUUUUCUUCAUAAGAGGAAAGAAGUGUUUAGACCUCCUCUACUCGAUGACCGUGCCAUUUGAGAGAGAUGUACGUACUUCAUUUUCUCUCGUGAUUUCUUAUGCUUUCAUCAUUUUGGCUUUCGUUUCUAACAUCUUUCUUUGUCUUCUUUAGGUUGGGUCUUCUUGUUCUUUUGAUUUGUCAACUGCAUAUGUUUAUUCCUAUACGGAGAUGCUAUUUGCGGGCGAACUACCUACAGACAGGGAGAUCGGGGAUCCGCCUGGUGCAGAGCUUGUUCCAAAUCCGUCGAACUUCCCAAGUUUGCCAUGUGUAGGUGAAGGUAUGCAAGAACCCGUCAUGCGUCCAACAUCUUUGCCAGCUAGCUCUGAGAUCUCUUUGAGAAGGCCGAACCUUAGCGGUACUGAGCAAGUCAUCCAUCGCAUCAGUCUUGGUGCGGCAAUGGAUAUCAAGAGCCAUAUAGAGAAGAUGAUUUCUAAGUGCCCGUUGGAAGACCUUACGUUGCUCAAUGAGGAUUUAUCGAAGUUUGUUUAUGUGAUUAACAACCUUAACGUUGAUUCUUCAUCCUUGAAGAUCAAGAUUGCCGAACUUAUGGCCGCCUCGACUGAGUAUUCUUCCUUGCGUGCUAUUUCCUUGGAGAAGUUGAGUCCAGAUGUUAGAGCUCAUCAGCUAGCAACAAUAAACUCGUCACUAGCUCAAGUCCAGUCUUUUCAGCAAGCUGCUUCGGGAAAUUAUCAAGUUACCGAGACUUCUUUAACUUCUGUCCAAGAGCGUCUAGAUGCGUUGGCGAGAGAGCGAGAGCAGUUGGUAAUCGAAGCAUCGCAACUUGAAAGUGUUCUCACGGAGCAGGGAACUACACUUUCUCAGUACCAGGAGGAGAUUUCACUCCUAGAACGAGAGAAAUGCAUGACUCUAGAGUUGCCCAUCUUGUCUCCCACCGAGGCAGAGACUUUGAAGACUUUGGAAGGCUUGCUUGAAGAUUGUCUUCGUAGUUUUGGGGACAUAGUUUUCAAGUAAUAUCUUCUGUUUUUUUUUUUUUGUAAUAAGGCUUUUGGAGCCGACUCCUUCUUUCAAAAAAAUAAAGUACUUACAUUCUUGAAUUUGCUCUUCAUUCUUCAAAGUGUUUUUUUUUAUAUGGUGUGACUGUACUUGAAGUUUUGACGUUUCAAGUUGCCUACGUACCCUCUGUUGAGGAGGGAUCAAGUCAUAACGUAGUUCAAAUGGGUGAUGAAUUUAACAGUGAUUUUGAUGAUGACUUUGAUGAUGAUUUUGCCGUACACAGUUUAUGCUCUUGCGGGCCAGGAGCGUUGGUUGUCGCCUUUUAUGGGUAGUAGCGCUUCAAGAAUCUUCCAUUGAUAGGGCCAAUCUUCAAGCCGUCUUCUGCCAUAAUUAAGUAGGUGCCGUUGGUGUAGACUUCUUGUAUUACGUAUGGUCCAUCCCACUUUGAUGUGAACUUGCUUUUCGUCUUGUGAGUUGUGAUGAUAGGCCUACGCAAUGUGAGGACGAGAUCUCCAGUUUGGAAAUACCUUGGGCGGACCUUCUUGUUGAAUGCCUUGGAUAGCCGUGCUUGGUAGCAUUCCAAGUGUUGUUGAGCUUCGAGCCUUCUUUCGUCGAGUGCUUCCAACUCUUGAAGGCGCAACUUUACAUUCUCUUCAUCAGUCAAACCUUCUUGUAUAGCCAUUCUCAGCGAGGGGAUCUGACUUUCGAGCGGUAGAACAGCUUCCACGCCAUAUACAAGAGAAUAAGGCGUAGCUUGGGUAGGAGUCUUAUGUGUCAUCCUAUAUGCCCAAAGAGCUUCGCUUAUUCUUUCAUGCCAGUCUCUCUUUGUUCGGCCGAUCACCUUCUUUAAGAGAUUGCACAAUGUUUUGUUGAAUGCUUCUGCAACCGUUGGUCGGGGUAUGAUACAUGAAAGACUUGUGCUGCUUGAACUUGUAUUUCUCACAGAGCUCAUCCACGAGUCGGUUGGAGAAUUGUUUUCCGUUGUCAGUGAUGAUGUAGCGAGGCACCCCAUAUCGGUGGAUGAUGUGCUCCUUGAUAAAACGGACGACAGUUUCCUUCUUUACUUCUCUUAGGGUUAUGACUUCAGCCCACUUGGAGAAGUAAUCUGUUGCAGCUAGGAUGUAAGCUUCUCAUGCAGAUGAUUUCGGAGUAAUUGGUCCUACGACGUCCAAUCCCCAUGCAUCGAAUGGCCAUGAAGCAGCUGUAGGGUGUAAUGGCUCAGGUGGUUGGUGUAUGAAGUUGGCGUGGAAUUGGCAGGCUUGGCACCUUUUGGCAUGUUUCAGGCAGUCCUUCACCAUGCUUGGCCAGUAGUAACCCAUUCUUUUGAGCUGGAAAUGUAGCUUUGGUCCAGAUUGAUGCGCCCCGCAUACGCCUGAGUGUGCUUCUUCCAUGGCUUGAUUAAUUUCUUUCUCACCUAGGCAUCUCAGAAGUACUCAUUCGAAAGAGCGUCAGUAGAGUGUUUCUUUGUAAUAAAGAAAGCGCGGUGCUCGUCGACGUAUUUCGGAGCGGUGUCUAGGAUCGUCUGGAAGUUUUCCAUGCUCUAAGUAAUCGAUCAGUGGUUGUCUCCACUCUUCAACAUCGACUAGAAGUACUGAGAUAACAUUUGUAUCAUCUAGUAGCAUUUUGGUGACGAGGGGGAUCACCCAUCUUUGGCAGACUGGCACGUCUGCAGCUUCAUCUUCUCCUAUUGUCAUGCUUGAGGCUAGGUUGGCAAGAGCGUCUGCCAUUUGGUUUUCUUUUCUUGGCACAUGUUCUAGUGUCACAGUCUCAAACUCUUGUAGCAGUUGAGUUGCUAGCCGGAAGUAUGGGACGAGAUCAUCUUUCAUCACCUCAUAUUCAGUUAAGAGUUGAUUGAUUAUGAGCUUGGAGUCGCUAAAUACCUCAAGGGCUGUGAUUCCCAUGUUGAUCGUCAUUUGGAGUCCGAUGAUCAGUGCUUGGUACUCAACGACGUUGUUGGAGCAUAAUUCACUUAGUUGAAAGGAAUAAGGUAAUACCUGCCUUUGUGGCGACAUGAAUACUACUCCUGCCCCUGCUCCGUCUGCUCGUGCAGAUCCGUCGAAGAACAUUGUCCAUGUCGGGAAGAUGUCGAUGUAGAACACUUCCUCGUCAGGCAAGUUGUCUGAGAUUUUCCAAUCAGCUGGGAUUGGGUGAUUGGUAAGAAAGUCUGCUAGCGUUUGUCCCUUUACGACUUUAGUUGGGACGUAGAUGAUCUCAUAUUGGUUAAGCAGCAGCGCCCAUUUAGCGAUUCGCCAUGUCAAGACUGGUUUGGACAUGACAUAUUUGACCGGGUCAGCUUUAGCAACCAAGUGGAUGGUGUAAGCAUGCAUGUAAUGCCUGAGUUUCUGGAUGGCGAACACUAAGGCAAGACACAUCUUUUCUAUUGGGGAGUAGUUCAACUCGGCGCCGGUGAGGGUUCAGCUGAGGUAGUAGAGCGCUCAUUCUUUCUGGGAUUCAUUCUCUUGCGCCAAGAGUGCUCCAACUGAACUUUCUUGAGCGGCGAUGUAUAAUAUGAGUGGUUUCCCAAACACAGGCGCCCCCAAGACAGGUGGACUUGACAAAUACUUUUUUAUGCUUUCAAAAGCAUUGUGGCAUGCUUCGUCCCAUACAAACGGAACAUCCUUCUUCAUGAGUCGGCUGAACGGUUGACAACACCCUGCAAGGUUAGAGAUGAAGCGUCUGAUGAAGGAUAGCCGUCCUUGUAAACUUUUCAGCUCGUGCAGGUUUCUUGGCUCAUGCAUGCUUUGAAUGGCCUUGAUUUUUUAUUGGUCCACUUCAAUACCACGGUGCUUGACGAUGAAACCGAGGAACUUUCCGGAGGUGACACCAAACACACAUUUUAACGGGUUCAUCUUGAGGUUGUAUUUUCGUAGCCUUUCAAACACUACUCGCAAAUCCUUCAAGUGAUCUGAUCUUUUCUUUGUUUUGACUACCACAUCGUCCACAUAACAUUCCACGUUCUUGUGUAGCAUGUCAUUGAAGAUUUUCUGCAUUGUGCGUUGAUAUGUAGCUCCAGCGUUCUUUAGACCAAAGGGCAUCACCUUGUAACAGUAGAUACCUUUUGGAGUGUGGAAUGCUGUUAGUUCCUUGUCUUCAAGAGCCAUACGAAUUUGAUUGUAUCCAGAAGAGCCGUCCAUGAAUGACAGUGCCUCAUGGCCAGUGGUUGCGUGCACCAUGAUUUCAAUGAUUGGCAAGGGGAAGUCGUCCUUCGGGCAAGCGUCGUUGAGGUCCCGGAAGUCUACGCAAACACGUAUUUGUCCAGAUUUCUUAAGGACGAUGACGAUGUUGGAGAUCCACUUAGGGUAUUGCACUUCUCGAAUGAAUCCUGCUUCGAUUAGCUUGUCAAUCUCUGCCUCGAUUUGUGGAAUGAGCUCAGAUCGAUAACGCCUUUGAGUUUGCUUUAUUGGUCGCGUUCCAGGCUUGAUUGCAAGAUGAUGCACAUCGAUGAUAGGGUCAAGGCCGGGCAUUUCUUUGUAAGUCCAAGCAAAGACGUCUUUGUACUCUGAUAACAGUUGGUAGUACUCCUCUAUCUCGUCUGCUCUUAGCAGUGCACUUACAAAGAUAGGUUUUUGCUCCUCUUUUGUGCCCAAGUUGAGCUCCUUGAGAUCGUCAACCGUGGCUUGCCCCCCAUCCUCAAGUUGCGGUGGUGCAACAGUGAUAUCUUCUUUGGGGAUCUCGUCUUCUUUGCCUUCUUGGAUCGUGAUGUGGAAGACAUCUUGGACUUCCUCUUUAGUGUCGUCCUCUUGGGCUUAUUGGUAUGAAGAUUGUCCAGUAUGGAUGAUGGUGCGCUUUCUCACUAUCAGCGGUCUAUUUGCGUCAACCUCUAAGAUUGUUUGGCGUUUCAUCCUUGAAGGAAUUAAGCUUCGAAUGUCUCAUUUUUCUGCUAGCCUGUCGAGCUUUUCUUCCUUUGACGUUGUCUUCCUAUUUCUAGAAAACUUCAUGUUGUCUUCAAGUCUUUCCAAAGCUGACUGACGAGGAGGAGAGCUAGCCUUGUUGCUUUGCUUCUUAGGUUUUGACAACCUUUCAAAAAUAGAGCUUCGGGAGGUUGGCCUGUUAAGCCUCUUGAAGACGGAGGUUCGGUUUGACCACCAAUGUGAUCAAGGGCUGACGUUCUGGGUCUUGAACGAUUCAUCCUAUCGAAGACUGGCGUUUGAGGGGUGGAUUUAGGCUCCUCUUGAUCUUGUUCAAUGCUCACGCUGAUAUGUUGAGUGCUAGCAUUUUUUGCUUGACUUGAAAUCUUCACGGGUGCACUUGGUGUGAAGCCAAGUCCAGCUUUGUUGUUGUUAACUCCGUAACCAUGCUUCUUCAACUUCUUUUGAGUCUCUGUGAUGUCACGUUCUUUAUUGUUGACGGUGUUUGAAACCUUUUUCCCAAGAUUCGAAGAAGAAGCGAAGUUGUACCCAGCUUUUGACAUGAGUUUGUAGGCGUUCAGAUCAAAACCUUUUUCGGUCCUCUUGGUUGGGAGAAAACUUGGUUCCGCCCUCUUUGGUAGAGCUUUUACGAAGCCUUGUGGUAAUCUUGCAACCUUAGCGUUGCUUAGCUGUGUCAGAGGUAGAACUACAUUCGUCUUGAGCAACUUUACAUUAUCCAUGUGCCGCUGUGCAUCGACAUUGCUUGCUUCAGUUUCGAACGGGAAUUGACCAUUCUUUCUUCUUGACAUCGGGAUGUAUCGGAAAACGGGUGUGUUUGAUCCAUUUGAGGGCGUCCUACUCCCUUUAGUUGUUGUAGGUUUAGCAAGCUCAUCAUCGUUCUUGUUUGAAGACGGCAUGGCUUCUCCUUCUUGCUUCUUGAGCAUGGCUUGCCACUCCUGUUUUUUAGGUGUUGUUUUACCCAUGGGUUUGAUCUCUUUUGGAAGAGCUUCAGGCACCAUGUCUUCAUCCAUGUAGAACUUGGCGUCUGCGAAAUAUGAUUCAGCUUCGGUGAAUGGUUUAGUGUCGCUAUAGAUCACCUUUACUCUUUCUCGGUAGAAUUUUAAGCAUUGGUGAAGGGUGGACGGUACUACUCCAUUCGCAUGGAUCCAAGGCCUUCCUAAGAGCAACCGUAGGAAGUUCUUGCAUCAAUCACGUGGAAUAUCGUGUUUGACUUGAGUUCACCAAUAGUCAUCUCCACUCGGAUCAUGCCCAUCGCUCUUUGUCCUCCUUGAUUAAAACCUUGGAUUAGUAGACGACUUAGGGACAGUUCAUCUGCCUUGAUGCCGAUUGUAUUCAUUGUUGACUUUAACAUGAUGUUGAUGGCUGAUCCACCAUCCACAAGCAUGCGGUUGACUUUGUGCUCCCUUACGUACCCAGAGACAAAGAGAGGAUUGUUGUGAGGCUUGGAUCCUAGCAGUAAGUCUUCGUCGGUGAAGUGGAUUGCGUCCUCGAUGGCACAGCAUGUGGCACAUUCAUGUGGCCGAAGCUUCAAGCCUUCGUCUUUGCCUUCUUGCGCUUCGUGGUCAUUGGGAAUUUCCAAGACCGCUGUUAAUGCUCUUCGCAUCUUAUUUGGCAAUCGUAGCGCUUCCUCAAUGCUAAAGUGUGUGCAGACCUUCUUCGAGCGUGAGAGUUUUUUCUCCCUCAAUGGUGAUAUCUUUGCCUUUUGAAGGUUCUUCCAUUUCUACUUCGACUAUGUGGCAUGCAGCGAUAGUGCACUACUGGAAGAAGUCAUUCGGGAAGUACUCAUGCAAGGAGAUAUGAAUGCGUGGCUCUUGCUCCAUAGGUUCCCCAGCAUACGUUGGCUUAUCAACUUUUACGUUUCUUUUGGGCUUCCUACUGUUGCGGCGACAAUGCUUUCUCACUUGUUCCACCUUUAGUCUUGUGGCUUGUGGUUUUGGUUUCCUUGUUUUUUUAUAGGUCACCAAUGUCUAUCAUUCAUCAUCCUCGGUAUGUGCAUCAUGUUCGUUUGCCCCCGGCGAUGGUUGUGCAGAAGGUAUCGUGCAACUUGAGCAUUGAUAGGAACAGUCAGGUGUUGUUUGGAGAGGUACGGGAUCGAAAGAUCCAAAUGCAAUUAUAGUAGUAUAUGUUGCGGCCGUGUCUUCGAGGUCGAGCUCGAUUCGCCCUUGUUGUGCUAGCUUCAUGAUGAGCUCUUUGAGGAUGAAACACUUACCCACAAGAUGGCUCAUGAUUCGAUGGUACUUGUAUUAUUUAGGAUCGUUUAUGCGAUUCAUUUCUUCAGGCCGCUUGCAUUUGAGUAGCUCGAUUACGUUCUUUUCUAGCAAGUCGUCUAACAUUGCAUCCAUAUCUGAGUCAGGAAAAGGGUACGCCUUCUGCUCCAAUUCCCUUAAGGUGCUUUUGUACCUUUCUUGGGUGCGAGGAGCCUCACCUCUCUUUAUCUCAUUUGCUUUGGUUUUGGAGGAGAUCUUGAUAGGCGCGGAUGCGGUCUUGACGGGCGCAGUGUUGACGGUGAACGCUUCCUUGGGGGGCUUCUUCCCAGUCUUGUCUACAUUUGAGGAGAACACCUUAUCCUUCUUGAAGUCGGUGAUCGGCUCUUUCUUCCCGUGAUGGGCAAUACUUAGCUCCAUGUCGUGGGCACGGGUGGCUAACUCUUCAAAUGUCCGUGGUUUGAUGCCUUGAAGGAUAUAGUGUAACCCUCAUUGCAUGCCUUGGAUGCACAUCUCGAUCGAAGAGAUCUCCGAGAGCUUGUCCUUGCAGUCGAGGCUUAGAUUGCGCCAUCGGUUGAUGUAGUCCACGACUGGCUCAUCCCUCCAUUGCUUUGUGCUUGUCAGCUCUAGCAUGCUCACGGUGCGACGGGUGCUGUAGAAGCGGUUGAGGAAUUCCUUUUCCAAUUGCUCCCAACUGUUGAUGGACUCAGGCUCUAGGUCCGUGUACCACUCAAAGGCAUUUCCUUUUAGCGAGCGUACAAACUGCUUAGCGAGGUAAUCUCCUUUUGUCCCCGCGUUGUUGCAAGUCUCAAUGAAAUGGGCGACGUGUUGCUUCGGGUUUCCCUUUCCAUCGAACUGCAUGAACUUUGAUGGCUGAUAACCCCUUGGCAUCUUCAACGCGUCAAUUUUCUUGGAGUAGGGUUUUGAGUAUAGUACGGAGUCAUGUGAACUUCCUUCGUACUGUGCCUUGAUGGUGCUGGCGAUCAUCUCUUGUAGUUGUUAAUAGAAAGAGAUCCCAUGAGUGCCUCUGCUUGGCCUGGCUCCGGUUUCACAUUGAUUUUCUCCACCAAAGGCUUUUCAUCCUCGUCGUUUUCCUUCUUUACUGAACCAUCCCCUUGCUCGAUUUUCACGUUGGGCUUUACAUCUAGUUGGUUGACGAGUGCGGCGAUUUACUGGUCUUUUUCUUCCACAAUCCGUGUUAGCCUUGUGAUCGCUUCAUUCAUAUGAGCCAACUGCUCAUUGAUUGAAGUCGCUCCAGUAGUCAUGACUUGCAUGGCUGAGUUGCUGCUUGAGUCGGCAUCGGAAAACAUGAAACCAGAGUACUUCCUUGGGCUUUCCUUCCUUGGCGCCCUUAGCGAGGCCAGGGUGAUCACAGGUUUGUGCCUCAGGUGCUCUUGUUCUUUCGGCGGAGUUGAUGCAGGGGUGGAAGAGGCGGCAGAAAGAGCUCUUGCCUUGCUUCGAGUUAUGACGCCCGAAGUGACACUGCCUGCGGUGAUGACGCUCUUGUUCCUUGCAUUGGUUGCGAGAACAACUUGAGCCUUCUUUGAUGCCACUUGUGCUUUUUGCGGAUUCAAAGAUAGAGAUGAGAGGUAGAGAUGGUCCCACUGGGCGUGCCAAAUUUGUAAACACGAGAAUUCCUGCGAUGAACGAGACAAGAACACGUGUACAAAAUAAUAUUUGUAUUAAUGAUUUAGGGGUUACAAUCUCUUCUACAAAUUUAGCCUCUGAUUCUAUCUUUGCAAUGGGUAGAUUUGUUGAUGUGGUGUUGAUCCAAAGGGCCGUUGGGGCUUAAUCUUGAAUAACGGUUAUGCAGAUUUCUUGAAGGUUGACGGGUGAACGGAUCUUCAAGGGCCGUUGGGGCCUUAUCUUGAAGAACGGUUGGAUGUAUAGGUUUGUUGAUGUUGUUGAUCCAAAGGGCCGUUGGGGCUUGAUCUUAGGGUGAACGAACGAUGAACGAUGAACACUUUCUUCAAGGGCCGUCGGGGCUUGAUCUUGAAUUGGUGGAAGUUCUUCAAGGGCCGUUGGGGCUUGAUCUUGAAGGAGGAUUUCACGAAGAACGAAGAGAGCUUUCUUGAUUCUUCGGGAUUUGCUUGGGAGCUUUGGAGUUUCAAAGCUUCAAGGUUGUGGUGUAAGGUGAAUUGGUUAUGAAUUGGUGUCCCAAAAUGAAAGCCUUGGCCUCCUAUUUAUAGAAUUCCAAAACUUGAUUUUUUGGAUUUAAAUAAUUAGAUGAAAUAAAUCAUUUCUGCCAGGUGUUGACACGCAUCCCGUUUGAUGACUUUUCCGAUUUAUUUUGAUUUUUCGUUUAGUCACAUGCUAUGUGUAAAAUUUAUGUGACACAUAAACAUUGAAAUUUUAAUUAUUAAUCAACAUUUAUUUUACCGAAAUUUCGAUGUCUACAAGAACAUUUAUUUCUGCUCAAAGGAAUAAAAGUUAUUGAAGACCCAAUAUUUUUUGCCAUGCCUGUUGUAAAACAUCCCCACAUUGGCCUGUAAUGUUUCAGGAUUAUUUCCCAAGCUAGGAAAGUUGAAGUUGCCCAGCAAUAUAGAGAGUUGGUGUGGCUCUUUUGCAAACUCAAAUCGAUUAAGUUUUAUGAUGCAUACUCUAAAAAGCAAGUAGCUUUCCUUCGAGGUAUUGGGCAUGUAGAUUUGACGGAGGGAUGGUACAUGUUAUCCAAACACUCCAACUCUCCAAUCACAAAGACAUCAUCUCCCCUCAUCGAGGCUCCGUCAACUCUCUCUAGUUCGAUUUGACGGAGGGCCAGUACAUGUUAUCCGGCGUCUCUGAUGCUUCCGCCGCCGUGUUUGAUGUCCAGCGUGGGACCGAUAACGUGGGCGGCGGAGCUAUCACGAGGCAUAAGUGGCUGCUUGCGAUGGAUAAGCAGCACGAGCACGGGCAUAAGUAUGCGGUGUCUUCCGCCGUGUGGUAUCCCGUCAACACCGGACUGUUUGUGACGGGGUCGUACGAUCAUCACAUCAAUGUUUGGGACACGAAUACGACUCAGGUAGUUAUGGACUUCAAGAUGUCGGGGAAGAUGUACCGGACUGCAAUGUCGCCGUUGGCAACUUCUCACAUGCUCAUUGCUGCUGGAACCGAAGAUGUUCAAGUCCGCCUCUGUGAUAUUGCCUCUGGGGCUUUUGCUCACACCUUGUCUGGCCACCGCGGUAUGUCCCAAAAUUCAUAGAAUUUGACAUUUGACGCACACUUGAUACAUAGAAAGUUACAAAAUUUAAACUUCUUAUCAUGGUUAUGUGGACACAUGAAACAUUUUGGAUGACAAUAUUGAGGAUAUAAGAAGGGGUUGUUCUUGAAAUUUAGGGUGGACAGUCACGAAUGUUGCGGAAAUUCACUUCUUUAAACAAUCCGGCCUAGUCGGUUUUCUCAGCAUUUUGUAAUUUGUAGCAUUUGGAUUUUCUGGUUGAACCCUGUAAUUGUGGACAGCAGGAAAUUUACAAUACACCGUGUUGGCGGGAUUCAUGCUUAGAACCUUAGUAUCGUAAAGCUAGGUUUCUGCUCUUGGUAGAUUCAUAUUCCUCUUUUGGGUUCUCUAGUUUUUGUUUACAAAAGUACAAGUGUUUUUAGUUUUGUUUCUUGGGUUUAAGUUUUAACAUAUAACGUAGAAUAAAGUUUCGUGCAUCUAGAGGGUCCUAAGUGCUGUAUUUUCUUGAUGGCAGAUGGUGUGAUGACUGUGGAAUGGUCUACUUCUAGUGAGUGGGCUUUGCUUACAGGUGGAUGUGAUGGUGCAAUACGUUUUUGGGACAUUAGACGUGCUGGAUUUUUUCUUGUUUUGGAUCAAUCUCAGUCUCAGCUAGGGAGACGUCCACCCAUCCUGAAACGCUCUGCCACAGUUAAGGUUUUGCUCAGUUUUUUUUUAAUAUUAUUUGCUUCGCUGUUAAGAGGUCGCACUUGGUGCGAUGGCAAGUGCCUUCGCCCAUGAGCGGUAGGUCUCGGGUUCGAGACUUGGGAGCAGCCUCUCCAUAAAUGGGGGUAAGGCUAGCCGACAUUCACCUCUCCCAGACCCUGCGUAAAGCGGGAGCCUUGUGCACUGGGUACGACCUUUUUAUUUGCUUCGCUGUUAGUUAGCCUAUUUCACCAGCAUUUCUGAAAUGGUUUUAUAUACGUUUUUGGGAAAUGUUGUUUCCUCUUUGUUAACCUAUUAACAUUGGUACUGAAAAAAGUUUUUAUGCUUUCCUUCACUCCUGUCAUGUUAUUCUUCUCCGUUUUAUUCAACACAAAGUUGAACACAGCUAAACUUGUUGGUGUCACAUGGAUCUGUGACUUUUAUGACAAUGAAACGUGAUGUGAUCUCAACCAAUACGAUGAUCCACACUGAAGAUACAGUGUGAAUGCACAACCCAUUAUAUGCGAUGUCUAUUUGAUUGUAUAAGUCCUGAGUUCCCUCUUUUUCAAAUUUCAAUUAUAAUUUCAUUGCAUUAUUAGCAAUGUUUGUUAUUGAAGCUUGUAGUCAGUAGAAGAAUCUAGUUUUAACUGGAGAAAAUGGUAUGUUGAACUUAUCCUUACUGAUAAUAUUUGAUUUUAUGUCUGGCUCAGGGUUCAACAGUUAAGUCCUCGUCCCCAAGUCAAAGCACAUCUGCAAAAGGUCGGGCAGCACAAAGGAAACUUACGAAUGGGAGCGGUGCAAAGCACUCACCUAUUGGUAAAGGUCCAGUAAAGGGAUCUAUGAAGCAAAUAUUACAUCCAGGGAUGCUAUCUAGUCAGGAUUGUGCCACUGCUCCUUACGGUGCUGUUACUCGAUUAAAAGUCACUGAAGAUGGCAUGUACCUCUUAAGUGCACUUUGAGUGAUUUAAUUUUGGAGGUUUGUUAUACUUGAGAAGCAAAUCCAUUUAAAUUGUCUAUCCUAUGUUUGAGUCCCUUUAACCGAGUUAAUGUUUAUACUAAUCGUAGUGUUUCAGGUUCACUGUUUACUUUUUUAAUUAUAUCCAUCAAUUUACACUUUAUCACAGAAUUAUUGAAGUUUAACCCAAUUCGCUGGUGUCAUACAGUACAGAUCACACUUCAGAAUACGACCUUCAACAGAAAAUAAAAAUAAAAAGAGAAAAGCAUGCAUGGGGGAUCUCACACCUUAGUUUCCUAAUGUUUGAUUCAUUCCUUUCAUGCAUAAGUUAGUCUAAUUGGUUUUUCAUUCAUUCCUCACUGCCGAUGUCAUUGAUCGAUCUUUUGCAUUUCAGGUUCCGAUUCAAGACUUGUGGGAUAUAGAAUCUGGCUGCAAUACUUUGGUGGACUUUGAAACUGUGCGUAUGCAAAGCAGCAAGCCCAUACAGUUAGCUACAAGUCAGAAUUCGGAGCUUGUUUUUGUUCCAUGCAUGACAGCUGUGAAGGUAAUGCAUUCUUUUCGUAGGUUUGAGUCUUUUGAAUUGUACAUGUGGAUUAAAAUACAAUCAUCUCUACAAACUUCAACGUUUGACAUCCAGAUUUUGUUUCUCAGGCAUUCGAUAUGUGGUCAGGUAAAACAUCCCUGAAAUUUCGUGGUCACUAUGAACAUGUAAACUGUUGCUGGUUUAAUUCACAGGAUCAGGUACUCUUCAAGCGAUUUAGGAGAGCUGUAAACCCUUUUUCCGACUGUUCUAAGAUCAUAUUUAUAAUUACAAAGCCUGUUGAAGUUUGUCUUCAGUUAUUUAUUUAUUCCAUGAGUUCACCUUGUUAUCUGCGGAUUAAUGAUGAUUUUGGAAUCCUGUAUGAAUUGUAAUUCAAGUCUCUCAUUGCAGGAAUUGUACACUGGUGGCAAUGAUAGACAAAUUCUAGUUUGGUCGCCCAUCCAGAAUGGUUUCGGAUGAGGUGGGACACCCAAUGAUUUUGUAUAUCCAACAUUAUUAGUUCCUUAGCGGCUUGUAUCUUAUACAUGUUUAGAAAUGCAGGAUAAAUAACCCUACAAGGACGAGGAUAAUUGGAGUGACUAGCAUCCGCUUGCUUGCGAUCCUCAUUUCCGCUAGGUAGAGCACCUUUGUCUUGCUCGGAGUUUCCUGUUUUGCUUUGAGAUCUAAGAGGCUGUAUUUGAUAGGCACAAUGAUUUGUAAGUUUAUAUUUUCUUUUGGCGUGUGUAUAUAUGUACAUUUAAACUUGUUCUUAAAGUAGAAUCAAGGGAAAAAUUCUUAGAAAAACUUGUGCACUGAUGAAUUAAAAGAAGAAAAACUGAGCAUUUUCUGAACGAAAAAUAAAAUAUGAUAAGUGAUAUUUAGUUUAGUAACACAUUAAAAAAUUGUACAUAAUUACCAAAUGUAUCUGUCAAAUAUCUCCCUCGAUAAUUUGUUCAGUUAUCCUAUAUAGUUACACCCUAACAAAAACCUAAAAUUCUGUCGUUGUACCAUGCCGAGAAACUAUGUUCGUUGUUGUCCAACAGCAUGCAGUCAACAUCAAUAAAAAACUUUGUCACCGGAAGCAACGUUCCCCAAUUCUUGGUCUGAAGCUCCAUUCUCCGGCUGAUUGUCUUCUGCCUGAGUUACUGUAGAGGUGGCAACGGGCGAUCCAUCAAAUUUUAUACUUCCUCCGAACGGUAUGGUUGCUUGUGUCGUAUUUUUAGACUCUGGUCAGUGGAAGAAAAAUGGUUAUUUAUUGCAUCCCUUUAUGAUAUCAAAUGUUAAAAAGGUGAAGUAUAAAUCCUCAUCCCGCAGAAUGAUUAAUGACGGUGAGCAACACUGUUGAUUUGGUUAUCCUUGCUACCUAAUUUGGUGCCGGCAAGUACUACUUGCAAGACGUGUAAUAUUAAUACAUUACUAGCAUAUGAGCACACACAAAGUGUGUGAGAAAUUUUUUUAUUUUUUGUUUUUGAAAUAGAAGGAGAGAGGAAGAGAGUGAUAGAGAAUGUGAGAGUGGAAUUUUUAUUAAAUUUUUUUUAAUUAGAGAUAUGUUAGAAUUACAUGUAGGUGAGGUCUUGAAAAAAAAAAAAUUUGGUUGUGUGAAAUUACAUUUAUGCUCCAUAUUUCUUAUUCAUGUUCUGUUUUAAUUAGAGAGUUAAACUGAUAAUUUCAUAGAAUUUUGAUUGGCAAUGAGUGUUUUAUUAAUUAAUAGAAAUACUUUAAAUUUAUGAUAUAUCAUUUACGUUUGCGUUACUCGCAUUAUAUUAUACGUGAUAGUACUCUACACAUUACUGUGGAGAUUCAAAUUGCACUAUUUAUGUUUCUUAUGGAAUGGGCCCUCGAUUUUGACUGAAUUACAAUUAUCCCAUUGUGUCAUUUGUGUGUGUGCGUGCGCUCUGUGCUUCACCCAAAAACGCCGGGUUGGGCUGUUGUUUUUGGGCCCGAAGUGGGCUGUCCCUUGAGUAGGUAAAAUGUCAAUUUUGCUUGAUUCAAUCCAAAUCGAACGGCUAGGGAUUAGGGGUGGUUUGUCAUUUUACAGUUAGAGGCGUGGGAUGGUGGUGGGGAAUGGGUGUGUUGGCUGCAGGCUGCAGACUGCAGAGAGAAGGUGGGGUUGAGGGAUUGUAUCUCUCCCUCUCUGUCAUUUCUCUCUUCCUCCAUAUAUGACAUCUCCAUUACAUUUCUCUUCAGGUUCUCUCUCUCUCUCUCUCUCUGAAAUAUCACAUGAGAGAAGGUGGUUUGGAGGAUAAUACGAUUGUUGCUGUAAUAACAAGUAUGUAGUUCAAGUUUUGAAAAUUUGAUUAUCAUUAGUUGCUUAAUAUCAUACUAAUUAUGUUUAAUUUGAGAUUAUAAUCAUGUUCAAUGAGAACCCAGAUAGGAAAUUUGAGGCCUUUAGCUUGGGGUGUUAGUUAAAUUUGUUAGAUUUUUCAUGGAUUUUGGGAUAAUAUAGUAUGUUUGCUCUAACUGCUGCAUGAUCUUUGUAGUGGGGAAUUUGGCGUGGGACGGCUUGAUGAUUUUACUUGGCUUCCUUCAGGGGACAAGCCGAGAAGGAGUUUCAGCGUGUUCACAAUUGAAAUAUGCAUCAAGUUGAUUGAAAUAACUUAACUACCUUACUUCGUCUAAAUGGGGAAUAUUUCAUUUCCUUUUGUUUGUGUUUGUAGUGAUGUAAUUCAGGUUCUGUUUAUUGUGAUUUUAAAUCAAAUGCCUUACUUUGUCUAGAUUUUUUGUGCAUUUGAUUUGUUUACCAAUUUUUAAGACAAGUUUGCAGACUUUGCACGCUGUGUCGUUUGUCACACACUAUUGGCUGUGUCGUUAGGAUUUACUAAUGGAUUUACUAUGUUUGGGAAUUUCAGGAAUUUGGGUCGUUGAAGAGAAAAAUUGGUUCCUUUAUGUUAAAAUGAUUCAUGUCUGUCUUAGAUUGUGGUUUCAAAAUAAUAGAUCAAAUAAUUGUGAAAUUAAAUCUAAUAAUUAAAACACUCAUAGCAUUAAGUUAUCCGUUAAAGCCAGAUACAAACAAAUUAAAAAUGGUGACAAUGUGAAACAUUUCAGUACUACAAAAUCACAUAUUUUUUUUUCAUUUUAUUUUUAUAAAUAAAAAAUAAAUAAAAAGGAGGCAACCUACGUUAUAUGUCUUCUUUUUUUCUCUCUUAUGUCACGUACCAGAAUCUCUCGUAGUGUGAUUAGUACCUUGGGAAGGGGAGUGGGAGUAGGGUACAGUGAUGGUUUUGAUGUCGUUUUGUAACUUUUCUGCAAAUGGUUUCUGACAUUUUAUUUUAGCUGAAAUUUCUUCAGUCAUUGUUUACUAGCUAAUUUAACUGUUGGUUUGCAAACCAUCUUCUAAGGUCUUUGUCAAAAUAUUAAUAAUCUCUCUAUAUGUGUAAUCCCCGUAAUAUUUUAGCUGAAAUGCAUUCAGUCAUUGUUUACUAGCAAAUUUAGUAGUUGGUUUGCUAACCAAAAAUAGUAAUUAGUAGUAGUAGUUGGCAUGCAUCAUCAUCUUCAUUAACAACACAAAUAGUUAACAGUAUCUGUUGUUUUAGGAGACUUUAUAGAACGUUGCAGAGAUAAGAUUCCGAAGCUUUGAAAUGUUAAAUUUUGGGUUAAGAAUACAACGAUCAAAAUACAACGCCAAAAAAUAAAAAUGAGGCCCCGAAACAUGAUAAAAUUUCUGAUAUUUUGAAUAUGAAUGUAGAUAUGCAUUUAUGGUAAUUACUUGAUGCAGGUGGGUAUGGGGUUAUGCAUAAGGAGAAAUAUCAGAAAAGCUGAUUUAAAAUUGGUUAUGCCUUUCCCAUCAUGCUCGUAACAGUAUCAUUUGCAAUCAGCAAAAUUUUCCUGAUAAGGGAAAGCUAGGAGAGUAAGUUCGACAGACAAAACAUUGAUGCAGAGAGAGAGAACUUACAUCAGCUGUGAACAUCACAUUGACAACGUUGUGUUCGUAUGAUCAUCACAAAGACAUCGUGAACAUCACAGACAACCUUGCAUUCGUACGAUCACAAAGACAUCAUAUCUUUUCACCAACUAUUAUUGGAAGAUUGAAUGCUUUAAAAAACUUGGUCAGAUAUUUAACGAGACAGGUCAUUGACCUACUCCUAACUAGGGGUGGACAUGGGUAGGACCAAAAUUUGGAGGGACCGGACCAGACCCGUUGUAAACUGUAACAUAGGGGCCAGGCCAGGUUCUUGGAUUUUGAGUUUUGGAACCAGACAUAACCUAGCCCGUUUAAAACGAGCUGGGUCCGCGGGUCCACAGAACAGCGGGCUGAAGGCAGUGAAGCACAGAUUGUGGCUUUUUGCACAGCAGCACACAUUACAGAAUACAAAGGCACAGAUUAUUAUCCAAAUAACAUCCAAAUUUCGCGGUUUGAACAUCAACAUAACAUCCAAAAUAAUAUCCAAAGUCCAAAUAAACAUUCAAAAUAACAAACAUAACACGAAACAUCCGCAAUAACUUCAAAAUUAACAUCUGAAAUCACAUACGUCUCACAUCAAAGGAACUAUUAUUCAGACAUGCCUAUCUUACCUACAUAUUACAAUUACUGCUGGAAGUCUUCUUGAGCUCAAUUUAUGGCAUUGACCCAUGAAAUGCCCGCAUUGAUGAUUCACCAAGUGAAUAGCUUGACACGAAAAAACUAUCCAGUCACGAGCGUGAAUCGGAUCUUGGUAACAGAAUUUUGCUCCCAAGAAAAAAGAAGGGAAGUGGGGCUUGGUCUUUGCUUUGGAACAGCCUGCAACUUCUUCAAAAGUUUCAAGGCUAGUUCGAUUUUUCCACAGGCAGUAUAACAAAGAGCAAGAAAGUACCACCUCUCAGCUCGUCUAUACAAUCCGGUAACAGAAAGAGCGUAAGUCAGAUGAUUCAUGAUUUUUGGAUCCCACUUUGUCUCUCGCAAAGCCACCUUUUUCACAAGAAUUACCAACAACAGAAUUGCUUCUUCUGUAUUAUUUUUGGGCAUAGUUGUGCCCCAUAUUUGUAACUGAGGGGGAAGGUUUGCUUCAACACCGCCAUAGAGUAAUGUGCGAGCUAAACUUUUCUGAAUAGCAGUAAACCUAUCCGGUUCUAUAUUCCAUGGCUUGAUUAAAGCCCAGCAAUACGCAGUGAUAGCCUCAUCAAGAUAGCCUGCCUUUGUCCAUAAAAUGGGGAGCAGCUCGGGCGCUUUGUGAAACAUGUCUGGCAAUUUGCAGUCCUCGCCAAUGUCUACAGGCAUUCCGUUAGGUAGUGCUGAUUUCAACUGUAUCAAGAAUAACUUUGCACUACUUUGCAGCCUCUGAUGAAUAAAGUACGAAAGCAAGCAAACUAAUCAAUACUGAUCCAAUUUUCAUUAUACUACAACACGAAAGCGUAAUCAGAUACCUAUAUAUCUUCCACGUUCUCCCAAUGAUCUUGCCUUAAGUAAUAUUGCUACAAUAAGUAGGCUCACAGAGUGCAUUGACAUUACACUGGGAAGAACCACAUUAUUGCCUUUCGUGCACGGUUUUCUUUGCCUAGUUCUCUCCACAAUAGCCUUGGCCAUCCCCGGGGUUAAAUUUCUAAUUUCAAUAACUUGGAACUGUUGUGCCUUGGCCCGUUCGUCAGUGCAGAAAUGAGAUUCAGAUUACAACCUCAUUAAAUCACACUCAGUUGAACAUAAUAAAAUACAAGAAAUAAAGACAUCGAGAAAUUUACGAGGUUCGGCAAAAAUCAUGCCUACGUCCCCGGCGAGAUAUUGCUCUUCACUAUGAGAAUAAGAGUACAAGUACACAUGAGUUAAAUCGACAUAAUCCAAUCCCAAAUCUCUUGUACACCCACUCAUAGAAUUUUCAAGAACCUCACUCUACCCCAAGAAUUUCUUACUCUCACUCUAUAUUUUCUCUCCCUUGCCCAUGCUUUCCCAUGGGAGAGCCGAAUGCUCUCCUCCUUGGAUGCUCUCUUUCACACCCUCUCCUCUUCGGCUCUUUACAAAUAAAUGGAGAAGAAUAAAAAAAUCAACCUUUCCUUUUUCCACAAACAUAAUGAUGAUGCAUCAUGCUCCCUUUGCCUUUUACUCAAACCCCAAAGCCACUCACGUGGCAUGCAAAUAGGAAACCAAGAAAAAAGGCCAAAACAAAAGAAUAUCAAGCAAACAUCAUCAUUGUCUUCCACUAUUAGCCGAAAUGAGAUUAGCCACAUUUGAUCACUAAUUCGAAAGCACAACACACAAAAUCACUUAAUUGUUGCCAGCUCAAAAUAUGAGCCAAUCACAACAGAAACACCUGAAGUGCAGCCUCAAAAUUCCCCCUUUGGAAUUCAAGCCUCCCCAACAAAGCUCUUGCUUCCUAAAAGCUGAUUGAAAAAUACGAAAUUAAACAUUAGUAAGCUGUAGAACAAGGAAACCAAUCACUAGUUACUCAACAAGUUUAGGGCCCGUUUGAUAACCAUUUCAGUUUUCAAUUUUCGGUUUUUGGUAUUCAAAACAUGAAUUUCAAAUAGUGAAACAAAAACAGUCACCUCAUAAUUCAAAGAUAGAGCUUCUUUAAGAGUGGAUUCAGCUUCAUCCACUUGAAUAUCUUCGAAUUUGGAGUCCCAGUCACUGGUCCUAGAUGAAAGGGCACUCGCCAAGAAGUCACUCGUGGCAAGGGACUCCGGCCAGUGUGGCGGCUCCUCGAAUUUGAAUUGCUGUCCUGAACAAGAACACAACAUCUUCUCCACAAAUCAUGGACCCUUGCGAUUUGAUUUCACACACAAAAUUGGGGGGGGGGGGGGGGGGGGGAAUUCACCUGUCUGUGAUUUGUUUCAUUUGUGCACACACCUGGAAACAGUAAAACAUGAAACCAUGUCACUGUCAUUGAAGAAACAAAAACAAAUGCAAGCAGUAAAAUUACGAGUUGUACGGAUUUUAGUAUGAAAAAAUGGUCGGAAACAGUAAGCAACAACGUAGAUCCCCAAAGCAGAAUAGGCAGUACCGAACAGGAAACACAAUUGUAAACAAAACACCCAGCAAAAUCCAAGUUUUUUUAAUGUUAAAAAACCAUGAAAAAUAAAGGAAAUAAAAGGGCAUAGAUUUGGAGGCAAAGACAGUCUCUUUGAAAAGAAGAACACCGAGGAAGUUGAAAGGGGCGAAACAAACGAUGAGGAACAGGGUUUUCUGAACUUACCCCAGAAAGAAAGAAAUUCAUAACCCAGAACGUGAUUUGUGGCAGUCGUGGAAGGUUUGAAAGAUACCUCUCUCUCUCCUCUCUCUCGUCUCUCUCUCUCGUCUGAGUUUUCCGGGGUUUCUUCAGAAGUUUGGAAUCCUUCGUAUUUUUCAGGUUCAGUAGAACCCAAAGCUAAUGAUGGGACGAUGGAGGGAAAAACAAACGUGAUAAUAAGCAAGGUUCUAAAAGUCGCUAAACGCUAGUCGGGCUGCGGGCUGGGACCUAGCGCCUAGGCGGAUUUAAGUAAAUCUAUCAUAUUUCAGGUAAAUAAGUGUCUGCUUCUACUUGAAAUAUAUAUAAUUUCAUCAUAAGCUACAAAAUAGAAUGCAUAUAUAUCAUGAAGUAUUGGAACAAAAUGAAAACAUGUGAAAUAAGGAUAUAAUGUUUGUUCAUUCAAGUAUGCAACAAGUCUCUUACACUUUAUUGGAAAAAAAACAAAAUGCAAAAUGAAAGUUAUGUAUUUUCUGUCUAAGUGAGUUGCAACCUAGGCGGGUCUAGGCGGGUGCCUAGGCGGGCUAGGCGGGUGCCUAGGUGGUCUAGGCGGUGGGCUGGGGCCUAGGCAUUAAUCGGGGCGGUGGGCUGAGGCCUAGCGCCUAGGCAGCGCUAGGCGGAGAUUUUUAGAACAGUGAUAAUAAGAGCAACUCCACUCUUAAAAAACAAGCUGCCCAACGUUUAUUUAAUCAACCCAUCAACCCAAAUAAAUACGAAUCAACUCUAAUGAAUAGUAAUUUGCCAAGUGUAUGGACAAAAAACUAAUCAAUUCGUAUUAGAGUCUAAUCAAUUCGAACUAAAAUAUUUUUAAUUUUUUUUAUAAAAUAAUAUGACACACUCCGAUCUGGGAUGUCCACUAGGACUCUGAAUCAAGCUGUGUUAGCCGACACCUGAAAUGUAACGAAGCCAUAAAGUGUGAUAAUGUAUAAAAUGUGAAUAAAUUAAAACCUAAAAGUCCAUGAGUACACGAGUGUGCGGUGAACGGAUCUGGACCCAUUUCACUCGUGAUACAGAGCAUAGGUAUAGUGCAGUAAGGUGAGACAAUGAUCAUACCAUCACAAGAAAGCAUUUGUACCAAAAAGUGCCACAAAUCCUCGUCGAUACGGAACUCUGCUGCUAGAACCUGAAGGGGUACAAAAAUAGAGAAUGUGAGUGAGUGAAACAAAACUUUUCAAACCAAUUCCAACUACCAAAGGCAGUAGCCCCUCACCGUAAUACCUGUAUAAAUUCUCGGAAAAUAAUAGGCGUGACUAUAAAUCAAUACCAUAACCAAAAUAAUAGUCUUACAGUUAUACCGUGUCAAAUAUCUCAAUAAGAAUAAGUACUCAGGUGAAAUAAAUCAAUAUGAAAUGGCAUAUUAGUCGGAUGCACCUAUAGUGGGCUGUAUGGCUGAAUUAAUAGCUCAUCAACAUGCUAGCCGGAGUCACCUCACGUGACCUGUACGACUUAUCCAUAUCUCAUCAAUCAAGGCUAGCUCAUAAGUCGGAGUCACCUCUAAUGACAUGUACGACUUAUCCAUAUCUCAUCACAUAUCUCAUCAUUUAUGCUACCUCAUCACAUAUUUCAUCAUAUAUGCUAGGUCAUCACAUAUUUUAGCAUAUAUGCUAGCUCGUCACAUAUUUCAUCACAUAUGCUAGCUCAUCACAUAUUUCAUCAUAUAUGCUACCUCAUCACAUAUUUCAUCAUAUAUGCUAGCUCAUCACAUAUUUUAGCAUAUAUGCUAGCUCAUCACAUAUUUCAUCAUAUAUGCUAGCUCAUAAGUCGGAGUCACCUCUGGUGACCUGUACGACUUAUCCAUAGCUCAAUAAGUAUACCUGCACACGAGUCGGAACCACCUAAAGUGAUCUGUACGACAGGACUAGAUGUAAAUAAAUACACUCAAGUGCUACAAUCACGUGAAGACUAUACGAAUAAUCGCGGGUCACCUACGAGUCGGAACCACCUAUAGUGGUCUGUACGACAUGACUGUGCACCUACCUUGGAUCCAAAGUGAGCGUAAGGUGCGGGAGGUGAACAUCACGUGAAGGACUGUGCCCUGGCCAUGGGAAUAUCUUCGAAUUUGGAGUCCCAGGUCCUAGAUGAAAGGGCACUCGCCAAGAAGUCACUCGUGGCAAGGGACUCAGGCGAGUGUGGCGGCUCCUCGAAUUUGAAUUGCUGUCCUGAACAAGAACACAACAUCUUCUCCACAAAUCAUGGACCCUUGUGCACACACUUGGAAACAGUAAAACAUGAAACCAUGUCACUGUCAUUGAAGAAACAAAAACAAAUGCAAGCAGUAAAAUUACGAGUUGUACGGAUUUUAGUAUGAAGAAAUGGUCGGAAACAGUAAGCAACAACGUAGAUCCCCAAAGCAGAAUAGGCAAUACCGAACAGGAAACAACAAUUGUAAACAAAACACCCAGCAAAAUCCAAGUUUUUUUAAUGUUAAAAAACCAUGAAAAAUAAAGGAAAUAAAAGGGCAUAGAUUUGGAGGCAAAGACAGUCUCUUUGAAAAGAAGAACACCGAGGAAGUUGAAAGGGGCGAAACAAACGAUGAGGAACAGGGUUUUCUGAACUUACCCCAGAAAGAAAGAAAUUCACAACCCAGAACGUGAUUUGUGGCAGUCGUGGAAGGUUUGAAAGCUACCUCUCUCUCUCCUCUCUCUCUCCCCUUACUCACUCUCUCUCUCUCUCUCUCUUUCUCGUCUGAGUUUUCCAGGGUUUCUUCUAGGGUGGUUUGGUAGGAGAUACCAUACCGAAACUAGUAUUCCGAAUCCCAAAUCGAAAUUUUUUGGGACGGGAAUUUGAAAACCAAUCCCAAAUCAAAUUUUCGGGAAUCCUGAAAUAUUUUUAUAAUUUCAGGACAAAUCGGGAAUCCCAAAUUUAAAUAUGAAAUUUUGAGUUGUUGUUCAAAUAUAUAAUUCAAGCACACAUUCAUAAAUAGGAAUGUCAUUUCAUUCACACUACCAUUUAAUCUAAAACUAGCAUGCUUGACUGUUUUUAUCAGAGUCAAAAUUCAAAUUAAUUAAACCCUUUUUGCAAUCUGUUGAGAGACAAAAAAGAAUCAAGCCUUUUGAAAUCAUUAGUCAUGGCACCAUCAAUAAUAAAAUCCAAAUAAAUAUCAAACAGAAUAUGAAAAAUAUGCAAGGUAUAGGGCAUUCCAGGUUACAGAGCAUGAAUUAGAAACUACUAGCAUCAAUUAUAAAAGAAUAAUAUAUAUAAUAUAUAUGUAUAUAUAUGUAUAAAUAUAUAAAUAUAUAUAAUAAUUAAUAUUAUAUAUUUUUGGUUCUGUAUGAGAUUCCUGAAAUAUCGAGAAGCUAAUCCCGAAUCCCGUACCGAAAUUUUGGGAUAGCAUCCCUAAAAUUUUAGGAAUUUCGAUUUGGGAAAUUUUUGGUUUGGGAUCUGGAUUUUUUCGGUUCGGUUCGAAAUUUUCAGGAAUUUUUUCCACCCCUAGUUUCUUCAGAAGUUUGGAAUCCUUCGUAUUUUUCAGGUUCAGUAGAACCCAAAGCAAAUGAUGGGACGAUGGAGGGAAAAACAGACGUUAUAAUAAGCGCCACUCCAUUCUUAAAAAAAAAGCUUCCCAACGUUUAUUUAAUCAACCCAAAUAAAUAGUAAUCGAUCCAAUGAAUAGUAAUUUGCCAAGUAUAUCUUCAUUUCUAAAAAAUAAGCUGGACAAAAGAUUAGUCAAUUCAUAUUAAAAUAUUUUUAAUUUUUUUUUAUAAAAUAAUAAAUAACAAUUUUAUUUUUUAAUUUCGGAUUGGAUUUUAAAUCAAUCUUGUCACGUCACGUGUCAUUAUCCAAAGUACAAUUUUUGUGAAUAAAAUUUUAACCAAUUUAUAAAGUACCUAAUUUAAUAAUUUUCAUUUUAUUUUUUAUGUAUUUUAAACAAUUUUUAUUAAGUUAAUUAAUCUGGACCGUUGGAUUUCAAAAGAUUGAAAUCCAACAGCCCAAAAUUGGACAUGUGGCCAACAGUAAGAUUUUUGACAUUUAAAAAAAAAAUUGUGUGACAGCUCGUCUCGAAAUAUAUUUUAUCGAUGGUGUGAAUUGACUAAAUUACCCUUGAACGUUGAGUUGUGUUGCGUGGAAUGAGCUUCGUAUUUGGACCAAUUAAAUCCAUUUCCUAAGUUUUUGGGACCCAAUAGGAAACUUAAACUUUGUUUUAGUGUUUUGUGGGGUGACAAGAUCUGGACCACACACACACUAAUCAACCCUGUUGACCUCUCUCUUUCCCCUCUCAAUUUUCUUCCAUUGUCCGUACAAUACGUACGGUCAACCUCCCAACUAGCUUAAUCACACAUGGAUCGAGCUAGAUGAGGACGUUUUUGAACUCCUUGCAAGCUUAGGAGUAGAGUCAUACUUUUUGUUUGAGGAAGAGACCUGUAGAAAUCGAGAUAUCCGAACUUCGACGAGGAGUGUGAAAUUCUCCAACGUGAUCGCGAAGGUUUUAGCCUGUUUAGGGACUUAAAAAGGUAUUUUUCUAACUUCUCUAGUACAUGGGAACCCUUUUGGAGUAGUUUUGACAUUAGAACACUUGGGUUUAUCGAGUUGCAAGUUUGAACGUUCGGUCGAAGGAUUUUCCAACCACUUUUCGUUGGUUUUAGGUCCCCCAAAGUGGUAAGAAUGUGUUCUACUCGUUGUAAGCUUCAUUUUGAUGAAAAUUUCAUGGAUUUUGGUUGAGAAAUGGAUGAGAUAUUGAAGUUCUAAGAUUUUCCAUUUUUCGGUGAUAGCACCGGCACCGGCGCCAGACUCUGGCGAGCCAAGGAAGACGGAGGAUAAUAUUAUGUCAAAGUUGAUGGAAUAUGCUAACGACAUCAGGUAUCUUUAACGGUAUAUGCUGAUUUUUAACGAAAUAUUCCCUAACGCCGUUAGGGAAUCCGUUAGUGUGCCAGGCACGUGCUUGCACAUGAGCCACGCGUCUGGCCAUGCCUUGGCCGGCGCGUGAGGGCGCGUGGGGGCUCAGAAAUUUUUUCUAAAAAUAUGGGGAUGUUCCUGAGGUGGAGUAGGUCAUGGUGGUAUAUUCAAAUACCUCAAUUGAGCUAUGUAUGAGAAGUUAUUACUUAGCUUUGUGUAUGUGCUUUAAAAUAACGUUUAUAUAGUUGUUUCGCAUAUAGGUGAGACCUAUCCUGAGGACGAGAGCAGUCAAGUAAGGCUUGGGGGUUACCAAGGACGGAGCCACUAUAGGCCUAGAGGGGGCGGAUGCCCCUACUCAAUUUUUUAAUUGCACAAUUUUGCAUUUCAAUGACCAACCCUAAUUAAAAUAAAAAUUAAACCCCAUAUGUUAAUUGGUAUCAAGGGAAAUGUGCUAAGGAGACUCUUCCAAAAGUGAACCUCUCCAUGGACUUUCCGUCACCUCAUGUUUUUAGUACAAUCCCCGUACCAACAUUAUUAAAUAUUGUGCCAAAAAACAUGAGGUGGUGUAGAGUCCCACUUUGAGAGAGUCUCCUUAGCAUUUCUCUUAGUAUCAAUAUGAUUGACUUCGCCAACAAUGAUUCUAAGUGUUUUGUAUGAAAAACAUUAUAGAUUAAUAUAUAAGUGUUUGUUUAGUAAUUUUUUUAGCUUUUUAAUUGUAACUUUAUUGUUUGAGGAUGCUCCCAUUCAUACAAAUCUCUAGCUUCAUUCCUGGGGGUUACGACCCUUCCACAUAUCAGUGAGUAGGCUUUUGGUUUUCAGUAUAUACUUAUAUACUUGGUAUUUUUCCUAAAAAAUGCGUUUAAAUGAAAUUAUGUUUUGAAAUGCCAUGCCUAUUGAUUUAUGCAAGAUUAUGAAUUAGUAUAGUAUGCAUAAAUGUGAUUUGACGCUAUGGACGCUCAGGUAAGUACCAGGUAAGUUGUAAACUGUUUAUAUGUGAAUUGAUGAUUAUGUGAGAUGUGUUGAAAGCUCAUAAACCUGCACCUCAGUGUUAGUGCUCCCGCCCGUGGCCAGGGCACAUGUCUUCACGUGAUGUUCACCUCCCGCACCGCACGCUCACCUUGGAUCUAAGUUAGGUGCACAGUCCUGUCGUACAGACCACUAUAGGUGGUUCCGACUUGUAGGUAACCCGCGAUUAUUCGCACAGUUUUCACGUGAUCGUAGCCUAGAGCGUAUUUAUUUACACCCAAUCCUGUCGUACAAACCACUUUAGGUGGUUCCGACUCGUGUGCAGACAUACUUGUUGAGCUAUAGAUUCAACCGUACAAGCCACAUUAGGUGGAUCCGGCUGAAUGUUAUUUCACCUGAGUUACUUAUUCAGUUAUUUUGAGAUAUUUGCCAUGGCAUACUUAUGAAUAUCGUUUUUUGAGCAUGGUUUUGAGAUGUGAGGGGUUAGAACUUUUGAUAAAUGAAAUGGUUUUGAAAAACUUUGUUUUUGCCCACACACUUUCUGUUUUGCGCCCUUCCAGGUUCUAGUUAAGAGUGCUUGUUGGUGGCUUACGAGGAAUUCACGGCAGCUCUGACAAAUUAUUGCCAAUGUAGGAUUCUUUGGGUGUUGUAUAAUUAGUAUUCGUCCUACUGGACUGCCCUUAGGCUACUUAUGCUCUGAUUGUGAACUCACACUUAAUAUCGCACUUGCACCUUAUCUUAUCUAAUGCUCUAGUUAGUUUGGUUUUUAUUUAUUCACAAUUCUUUAUAUCUUUAUUGCUUCCGCACUGGGCACAUGGCUACAUCACAUUCACAUGACGGCCAUCAUGCUUCAAUCUAGGUCGGGGUGUGUCAUUUUGGCUGAAAAACCUGAACCCUUGAUCUGGAAAUCAAAUGGUCUAGAUUUUGCCACAUCACUAGCCGUUAGAUUUAAAAUUCAAAAAUUUUUUACCGUUGAAAAUUCAAUGGUCCAGAAAACUAGUCGUUGGAAAUCCAAUAGCCAUCGCUGCGCCACAUGGCCCAACUCCAACUUCCUAGUUAGUGUGCCUGCAACGUGGGCCCCAUCAUGCGAGCUGUCCGGAACACGCGCCCAUGCGCACGUGUUUCCCACACACCAGCCGCAAAUAAAAGACUCAACCCGUGAACUAUGUUAGCAUAAUGUCAGAUGGGCCAGUUCCUCACUCAGUCCAUAUGGGUUGGCUUAAAAGCUGGGGUGGACUUUGGGCCAACCUGUUAGAUGGGGUGGAAUGGAUUUUUUUUUGGGGGGGGGGGGGGCGGUGACACGCCCCAACCCUAAUAUCCCUAAAUAUCAAGGUAGGCAUGUGCUGGCCGACACUCGAGGAUGACGAAGCCAUUUUAAACAUGCAUAUAAAUAAAAUAUGUAAUUAGAAAGAGAUACAUCAAUUCAGAAUCGUGUUCAGAGCAUACAACUACUCAAGAAUAAGGUAGAAGAUUUAUUAUAAAAUGGUACGAAUUGAGAAAUGUGUCCUACACAGAGGAGACUCAAAGAUGCAUGAGCGGAGGUGCCCUGACGCCGAGAUUGUGUGCCUUGAAUCUAAAUCAUGAGGGGGCGCACAAACAUAAAAGGUGAGUGGACCAAAGUUUAUAAUAAUACUAUUAAUAAGAAAAUCAUUUUAUUUAACUAAUCCCCUGUUUUGAAAACACAUAUAAUACUACAUAAUAGGUUUCUCUGAAAACCCCAGCAUGCCAUGAAAUCAUUCUAAAACCAAUGCGUAUAAAACAAUGCUCGGAAAUAGUAAUAUAGCCGCUCGAAAGGAAAUUCGUAAAUCUCAUCAAUAUUGUACUCUCUAGGGGUAUCAUAGUCACCUGAAGGCAGUACAUGUCCAUCACCCGAAGGUAAAGUUGUACGACACUAGGUUACGCCAGUGAAGAAACAUGGUAGGCCCUAUCACCCGAAGGUGAAGUUGUACGACUCCAGGUUACGCCGAAGAAAUAACGCAUAACAUCACACACACCGACACUAGCCCUGAGCUAGUGAAGUUGGGGGUAUAUCAUCAAUAUCAUCAACUCCUCAUUCACCCGAAGUCAGUACCUGUCCAUCACCCAAAUGUGAAGUUGUACAACACUGGGUUAUGCCAGUGAAGAAACAUGGUAAACCCCGUCACUCGAAGGUGAAGUUGUACAACUCCAGGUGAUGUUGGAGAAGGAGCAUAUCCAUAUCUAUCCUCAAUUGUCCUAUGGCCAUAAACAUCUACAUACUCGUAUUGUGUGGAUGUGCUGUAUGAUAACCCGCUAGAUAAGUACCGAAAACAUACCUCAAAAACUCAUCUCAAUUCCGGAGCCCAAAAGUUCAAAAUCUCAUCCUUUAAAUCUAUAUUUAUAAAUCCAUAAUAUAAAUCAUAUUCGAAAGCAUUAUCACAUUUUGUUGUUCGUGUGGGGUACCUUUCAUGAUGUGGAUAUCUCCAUCAUGGUGGGAUGGGUUAUGCUUAUGGCCCUCAUUUUCCAUCACAAUCUUAUCUCCAACCCUAAUUAACCAAAUUGCUUACACUUUUUUGGGGCUAAACACCUUUUGAAUAAUCGAUAAUAUGUGAAGUGUGCCUUUACUUGUAACCCACUACGGCACUAUCUGUGGUGGAAUGUAAUGGAAAGGUGGGGAGUAAAAGAUGAAACUCUAACAACCCCACAAAUUUUAUUUUUCUAUUUUAUAUGAGCGAUAUUGAGGGAGAAAAAAAUUAGACUUGAGACUUUAGAUAUAGAGUAAAUACUUUUAAUCAACUGAACUACUGUUUCCUUGCAGAAAUUCCAUGACAUUUUGUUUUGCUCUUCAUUUUGUUUCGUGGGUAAGUGCUCUAUGAUUCAAGUUGCAAAUCCAAGCUAAAAAUGACACAAAAUUAAAGUUGGAACGAAAGAUGCGAAAACAUAAGAACAAUCUUGUACAUUUGAAAGGUUCUAACGAUCUUUGUAUAUGUAGUAACCCUAUAGUCCAGUGAUAUUCCUUUAUUUUAGUAAAUGAGAAGUUCUCAUGUUCGACUGACAUAAAUGACUAGUUCAAUGCCUAAUUAUGUAUGGCAAAUUAUCUCGUUUAGCCCAAAUUCCUUCCUCAAAGUAGAACAUCGUCAUAGAAAAAAACCCUCAAAACAUCACAAGAAUUAAAAAGGGUUAUACCAAAAAUCCACUUUGAUACAUAAUCACAAGAGAUAGAAAGAAGGGGUGUGCUAUCCACGCACCUAUUUUUACUUCUCUCACAUCUCUUAUUAGUUUCUGUCCUUUGAUCUUUUUCAAUUUAUCCGAUCCGACGGCCGAAAAUUAGAGAGGUAUGAGAGAAGUAAAAUUAGGUGUGUGAAUAUCACACCUCUAGAAAGAAUUGUUCUGAAUAGAAAAGAAACAAGCAUUACAGCAACAUAAAUACGAAUACUAAAGCCACUUGAUAAUCUCAGCCUUCAACAGAUUUGAGUACUGAAACUGAAUUUUUGGCUCUCAAACUCUCGAUCUUAGACUUAAAACUCACUGUGGAAAGACAUGAGCAAUGUCUUCCAACAACCAAAUGCGACACUUAAUUGUUUGAUAUUUUCUUCAAGAUCUUUCCUUCUUAGUAACUCAUGAUUUAGAGUCUCUGGUUUCUAUCACCCAUCCAAUACAUUAAUUUGACUCGUCAUUGCACCCUCCCACAAACUUAUCAUUGCCCCUUUAGUGAAAAAAGUUAAAUAUUUGAUCAAAAUCCGUAAAACGUAAUGUCAUGUAUAUUUAUAUGUUCUCCCAAACCCAACUAAAUUUGGUUCUUUCAUGAUUUUUGUGGGUUUAGCUAUAAAACUUAGCAUGCCAGAGUGCACAUAUGGGUGGGUAAACUGCAAGAAAGACUACGAAAAGCAGACUCUUUUUUUUUUAUUUUUUUUAUUUUACAAGCAACGAUAUUUGAUAUUUUAUUAAUCAACUGAGAGCAACACAAUGUGUCAAUUGGGUACAAUCUUCCAGUGAUCAAGAAAAUAAUUUGGAAGUGAAUUUGCACAAAUGAGACAAUAAUAGUAAACCUCUAAACAGUUACCACAUGUACGAGAGCUUUCCAUAACACCCAUACAAACUUGUCACAGAAACGAUAAAUAACAUAUUUGUAAAUGUGAAUGCAAAUAGUCAUUGCCGAAUAGCGUUGCCACAUAAAGUCAUCGUAUAUAUAAAUAUGAAACAAAAAAUUGAGUUUCUUAGGCUACAUGGGAAGCGAUCGUUACUAUUCUUGUAUACCCUCGGACAUGGAUCCUCUUCGGAUCCAAUUAUCCUAAUCCACCAAAUCCAUGUAUCUGGGUCAUUGAAAUUUGAUCUAAUGGCUAAAGUUAUUAUAAAUUUUAAAGUGGAUCCCUGUUUGUAGCCGUUGGAUCAAAUUUCAAUAGCCCGAAUACAUAGAUUUGGUCGAUUAGGACAAUUGGAUCCGAAGAGGAUCCAUGUCUAGUUGACCAAAGUUUUAGGUCUAGGCAUAUAAUUGCAGUUUCUUCAUUGCAGCAACCUCCUUUUUUUUUUUUUUUUUUUUUUUUCUGUUUGUUUACUUCAAAGAAAGAGCAUCACAACCUUCAUUUAAUUCUCUUAUUUGACUUCAUUUGCUUCGUUUUUUGUUCUGUUUUUAUUGUUCCUAAAUUCUUAGUGAAUGAACUUAGUGAAAGCAUAUAUCUUACACCAAAGCAAGAUUUAGUUAUCUAAAAAAACCAAGUUUCAUACUAUACAUAUACCAAGACCAUCUCUAAACAUUAGGACAAAAAAUUUAGAUUUUAACCUAAAAAUAGUUUUCUAUUCUAAUCGUUCUGGGUUAUUUUAACCAAAAAUUAUUAAGAAAAGAAUUUAAGCUGAAUUAUGUCCAUUAAGUAACCUUUUAAAAAAUAAAAAUUAUGUAAAUUAUUCUAAUUUAUUUUUAUGAACAUCUUAACUUAAAAAAAAAGUUAACUUCAGAUAUAUAAUGAAAAAUCACCGAACCAACUAUUCUCUCGAAACAAGACAUGGCAUUAGCUGUUGAUUUAACUUUGGACUCUUAAUUUUUUUUAAUGUUGGAUUUAUCAUAUCCAAUCUCAUCCGUUAAAUUUAAUGUAUUUAUAAAUUUAAAUUGAGUUUCUUAGGCUACAUUGGAAGCGAUCAUUCCUAUUCUUGUAUACCCAUUUAGAACCUCAGAAGUUGACCCAAGUUUUAGGUCUAUCCAGACAGAACACGAUUGAUUUUUCAAGAGGAUCAAAAUUAUGAAAUAUUAGCAUAUUUGAAUUGUAGAUAUAUAUCACCUUAUGAAGCUAUUUGGAGAUUGUUUCAAUACUCAAUACAUCAUAGAGAACCCUCUGUUAAACAAUUACCCGUUCAUUUACCAUUGGAACAAAAUAUUGUUUUUAGCGGUGAUCAAUCACUUCAAUCAAUUGUUAGACAAAAAGCUUUGAAAAUACAAUGUUAACAAGUUGGUUUGAAGUCAAUAAAAUUUAUAAUGAAGCACGUUUACUAACUUAUGCUCAAAUUCCACCAAAAUUUUGGUAUGACACACAAAAUAAAAUUUGGAAACCAAGAAAGAGUAAAGGAUCAAUUGGUAGAAUAGCAUAUGUACAUCCUGCAUCUGGUGAAUUAUAUUAUUUAAGGAUGCUUUUAAACUUGAAAAAAGGCGCAUUAGAUUUUAAUGAUAUUAAAACUGUUAAUGGUGUUGUGCAUUCUUUAUACCAUGAUGCAUGUAAAUCUUUAGGAUUAUUAGGCGGUGAUAAAGAAUGGUUAGAAGCUUUAUCAACUGCUGUAAAUGUUGCAUCAUCUCCUCAAUUAAGACAACUAUUUGUUACAAUUGUUUUAUUUUGUGAUGUUGCAAAUCCUCAAAUUCUUUUUUAUGCUCAUUGGAAGAACAUGUAUCCACUCAAAGUUGUUUGGGAGCAUAUGCUCCUAUCAACUUUACACGGGACACACAAAAGAAGUACUUUGAUCCUAUUAGACGGGGGAGGGUGAAGAAGCUAGGACAGAAGGGUAGAGUUCAAGAGAGCAAAAUGCGUUUAGGAACGUGGAAUAUAGGAACCUUAACGGGAAAAUCUAUGGAAGUAGUGGAAGUUAUGGUGAGGAGAAGGAUAAAUAUUAUGUGCCUACAAGAAACUAAGUGGGUUGGUAGUAAGGCAAAGGAUCUAGAAAACUCAGGGUUUAAACUUUGGUAUUCGGGCACAAAUAGAACGAGAAACGGUGUUGGCAUCAUCGUGGACAAGACCUUGACACAAGAUGUUGUAGAUGUGUCAAGAGGGUAGGAGAUAGAAUCAUGGCAAUCAAGAUUGUAAUAGGACAAGAACUUAUCAAUGUGAUUAGUGCGUACGCACCUCAAGUAGGGUUGGAUACGAGUUCGAAGGAGAAAUUUUGGGAAGACCUUGGAGACUUGGUGCAAGGAAUUGCUCAGACGGAGAAGAAGUUAUUUAUAGGAGGAGAUUUAAAUGGACACGUGGGCAGGGAGACAUGCAACUAUGGAGGUUUUCAUGGUGGCCAUGGUUUUGGGGAGAGAAAACGAGGAUGGGGAAGCUAUCUUGGAUUUUGCAAUGGCAUAUGAUCUCUUCUUAGCCAACACCUUCUUUAAGAAGAGAGAAGAAACAUGUGAUCACCUACAAGAGUGAGUCGUCAAAAAACACAAAUAGAUUUUCUUCUAAUGAGGAAAGGGGAUCGUAUAACUUGUAAGGAUUGCAAAGUUAUACCAGGAGAGAGCGUGGCUAAUCAACAUCGCUUGUUGGUGAUGGAUGUACAUAUCAAAAGAGUGAGACAAAAGAACAAGACUUGGAAGUGCCCAAGGACUAGAUGGUGGAAUCUAAAAGAAGAAAAACAAGCCAUUUUCAAAGAGAAGGUAAUCACCCAAUGUGUGUGGGAUAGAGAGGGGGAAGCUAGCCAAAUGUGGGAUUCCAUGGCUAGUUGUAUCCGAAAAGUAGCAAAAGAGGUAUUAAGAGAGUCAAAGGGCUUUGCCCCACACCAAAAGGAAUCUUGGUGGUGGAAUGAGGAGGUACAAACAAAGGUGAAGGCUAAGAAGGAAUGUUGUAAAGCCUUAUACAAGGAGAGGACCGAUGAAAAUGGUGAAAGGUAUAGAAAAGCGAAGCAAGAGGCGAAGAAAGCUGUCAGAGAAGCUAAGUUAGCGGCUUACGACGAUAUGUAUAAACGACUAGAUACCAAAGAAGGAGAGUUGGAUAUCUAUAAACUAGCUAGAGCAAGGGAAAAGAAGACAAGGGACCUAAACCAAGUGAGGUGCAUCAAGGAUGAGGAUGGAAAGGUUCUUGCUACAGAGAACGCGGUUAAAGACAGAUGGAGAGGUUAUUUUCAUAAUCUUUUCAAUGAAGGACAUGAAAGGAGUGCUUCUUUAGGGGAGUUGAGUAACUCAGAAGAGUGUAGAAACUACUCUUUUUAUCGUCAAAUCCGGAAGGAAGAAGUGGUUGUAGCCUUGAAGAAGAUGAAGCAUAGAAAAGCAAUAGGCCCAGACGAUAUACCAAUCGAAGUGUGGAAAGUUUUGGGAGAGACAGGUAUAACAUGGCUCACUGACCUUUUCAAUAGGAUUUUGAAAACGAAGAAGAUGCCAAAUGAGUGGCGAACGAGCACUUUGGUGCCUAUCUACAAGAAUAAGGGCGACGUACAAAAUUGCAUGAACUAUAGGGGUAUUAAGUUAAUGAGUCAUACAAUGAAGCUCUGGGAGAGAGUCAUUGAGCAUAGAUUGAGGCAAGAGACACGGGUUUCGGACAACCAAUUCGGGUUCAUGCCAGGGCGCUCAACCAUGGAGGCAAUCUAUCUCUUACGAAGAUUGAUGGAAAGAUAUAGAGAUGGGAAAAAGGAUUUACACAUGGUCUUUAUAGAUUUGGAAAAAAGCGUAUGAUAGGGUCCCAAGAGACAUUCUUUGGAGGAUUUUAGAGAAGAAAGGAGUACGAGUAGCAUAUAUCCAAGCUAUAAAGGAUAUGUAUGAAGGAGCAAAGACUGCCGUAAGAACUCAUGAAGGACAAACCGAAAGCUUUCCCAUAACUGUAGGAUUACAUCAAGGCUCAUCCUUAAGUCCUUACCUUUUUGCGUUGGUAAUGGAUGAGUUAACAUGACAUAUUCAAGAUGAUAUUCCUUGGUGUAUGCUUUUCGCAGACGAUAUAGUGUUGAUAGAUGAAACUCAGGAAGGGGUAAAUGCAAAGCUUAACCUUUGGAGAGAAGUGUUGGAAUCUAAAGGUCUUCGCCUAAGCCGAUCAAAGACAGAAUAUAUGGAGUGCAAGUUCAGUGCAAAUGGAGGCCAAAACGAGUUAGGGGUGAGGAUCGGAGAUCAAGAAAUACCAAAGAGCGACCGUUUUCGUUACCUAGGAUCUAUCUUGCAAAAGAACGGAGAAUUAGAUGGAGAUCUCAACCAUAGAAUACAAGCUGGAUGGAUGAAGUGGAAGAGUGCAUCUGGCGUGUUGUGUGACCGCCGUAUGUCACUGAAGCUCAAGGGAAAAUUUUAUAGGACGGCAAUAAGGCCGGCGAUGCUGUAUGGCACAGAAUGUUGGGCGGUGAAGCAUCAACACGUACACAAAAUGGGUGUAGCGGAGAUGAGGAUGCUUCGUUGGAUGUGUGGGCACACGAGAAAGGAUAAGAUUAGGAAUGAGGAUAUCCGGGGUAAAGUAGGAGUAGCCGAAAUUGAAGGAAAGAUGAGAGAAAAUCGGUUACGGUGGUUUGGACAUGUGCAAAGAAGGCCUACUGACGCUCCGAUUAGAAGAUGCGACUAUGGGACAGAGGUUCAGGGCCGAAGGGGUAAAGGAAGACCUAGGAAAACUUUGGAAGAGACUCUAAGAAAAGACUUAGAGUACUUGGAUCUAACGAAGGACAUGACACAGGACCGAGCACAAUGGCGUUCUAAGAUUCAUAUAGUCGAUCCCACGCAGUGACUUGGAUUUUCCAAGUCUCCAACCGAGAAGUUUUCCUCACUCGAAAAAUUAAGGGAACACUACCCCAACCUACAUGCUCCACUCAGAAAGCUUCAACAUACAAGCUUCAACAAAAGAAAAUUCAAAGAACUUAGCGAAGAAGGCUUUGGUGUAUUUAACACAAUACGUUGAAAUGAAGGAAAGCUUAUUUAUUGAUAUCCCCGAUAAGCUACAAAUAUGUACAUAUACAUGAGUCAAAAUAAACAAACAAGAUGGAGCCUUCACAAAGGUUGCUUAGGAGAAGUCUCAGCAGUCGGUAGAGCCUCAGAAAGAGAAGGCAUCAGAGGGGGAUCAUUCGGAGCCUCAGUACUGGACAGAACCCUAAAAAGGAGGAGGCAUCAGAGGUUGAUCAUUUGGAGCUUCAUUACGCGGUACAGCCUCAGAAGACGAAGGCAAUAAAUGCCUUUGGAACAAACCCACGAAUCUCUGAUGAUCAAGUAAAACCUGACCAUCAGUUUCCUUCAUCUGGUCAAGCUUCCUCUUCAUGUUUGUAGCAUAGUCAUGUGCGAGCCGGUGCAACUGUUUAUUCUCAUGCUUGAGCCCUCUAAUCUCCUGUUUGAGACUCAUCACUUCGGCCGCCAAUGAUUCAACUUGGCGGGUUCGAGCAAAUAGGCGUUGGGCCAUAUUAGACACAGAACCUGCACACUGAACACUGAGAGCCAGCGAAUCCUUAACAGCUAACUCAUCAGACCGUUUGGAAAGUAGUCUGUUAUCUUUGGGAGUGAGAAGGUUCCUGGCCACCACCGCAGCGGUCAUAUCAUUCUUCAUCACGGAAUCCCCAACGGUAAGAGGACCAGUAGGGGAGACGAAGGAUGGGCGCCAUAUGUUGUCUGGAGAAGGCGGGGCUGCCUCUUCAACAAGGUUCAAGUCAAAACGACGGUCGGAGGGGCCAAACAUUUUCAAAGGUGUUGAAGAGAGAAGAGGUCGGACAAAUCAAGAUCUUAGAAGUACAAGAAUAGAGCUUCUACUGGUGGAGAUUCAAGUGUGCUUUGGAACUUAAUGCCAGCCCUUAUAAAAAGCUGCACUCGACGGAGCUUCAGACAUCGAAGAGGCGCCUGCUCAGAAAUCGAAGAGGCAUUUGCUUUCUCAAAAGCUGGGCUGCUUAGAGACCACGAGGGUGAUCGCAUAAAUCGAAGAGGUGUUUGCUUUCUCAAAAGUUGGGCUGCUCAAAGACCACGAAAGCCGAUCUCAGAAAUCGAAGAGGCGCUCGCUUUCUCAAAAGCUGGGCUCCUCAGAGACCACGAGGGCCGAUCUCAGAAAUCGAAGAGGCACCUACUUUUCCAGCCUUGUCAGCACCUGUCACACGCACACUCAGCUUUGCGGAAAUUAUGGGUAUUCUGUCGAAGACUUCUGGGGAAGUAGAAAACACAUGAAUCUUACUGUCCAAUCACCCACUUCCCACACGCAACAAUAGCUCAUGGGUACCAUAUAUAACUUUGCCAAAGUUCUCUGCCAAAGUUGAGCACGUGAAGCUUGCAGCUCCUACUACAUCGCUCUGACCAAGAAGGGUAAAAGAAUAGCAAAGAAACAGCACUAACAAAGUUUAGACCCAUAAAUUUUGGAAGGUCUAGCUACCAUAUUAUUACCCACAAGGGUAAAGGAACAGUACCACUGCUGGAUAAUUGGAAAGUCCCUGUGUGUCAACCUCUGUGCCUCGUGGCAAGGUAGACUAGCAAACAUGCCCAACCAACCUUUUACUCACAUUCGAGAAAACACUCCCAAUAAGAUUGCUUGCUCCAAAAUCGAAGAGGCACCGUCCUCCGAAUCUCGAGAGCCAGACUCCCAACAUGACUACUUUCUCUCAAAAAUCGAAGAGAGGGUAAAGGAACAGUACCAUUGCUGGAUAAUUGGAAAGUCCCUGUGUGUCAACCUCUGUGCUUCGUGGCAAGGUAGACUAGCAAACAUGCCCAACCUUUACUCACAUUCGAGAAAACACUCCCAACAAGAUUGCUUGCUCCAAAAUCGAAGAGGCACCGCCCUCCGAAUCUCGAGAGCCAGACUCCCAACAUGAUAACUUUCUAAAAAAUCGAAGAGACACUGCUCCCCGAAUCUCGAAAGCCAGACCCCCAGCAUGAUUGCUUUCUCAAAAAUCGAAGAGGCAUCGUUCUCCGAAUCAAUCGAAGAGGCGUUCGCUUUCUCAAAAGCUGGGCUGCUCAGAGACCACGAGGGCCGAUCUCAGAAAUCGAAGAGGCACCUACUUUUCUAGCCUUGUCAGCACCUGUCACACGCACACUCAGCUUUGCGGAAAUUAUGGGCAUUCUGUCGAAGACUUCUGGUGAAGUAGAAAGCACAUGAAUCUUACUGUUCAAUCACCCACUUCCCACACGCAACAAUAGCUCAUGGGUACCACAGAUAACUUUGCCAAAGUUUCUGCCAAAGUUGAGCACGUGAAGCUUGCAGCUCCCACUACAUCGCUCUGACCAAGAAAGGUAAAAGAAUUGCAAAGAAACAGCACUAACAAAGUUUAGACACAUAAAUUUUGAAGGUCUAGCUACCAUAUUAUUACCCACAAGGGUAAAGGCACAGUACCACUGCUAGAUAAUUGGAAAGUCCCUGUGUGUCAACAAGAUUGCUUACUCCAACCUUUACUCACAUCCGAGAAAAUACUCCCAACAAGAUUGCUUACUCCAAAAUCGAAGAGGCACCGCCCUCCGAAUCUCGAGAGCCAGACUCCCAACAUGAUUACUUUCUCAAAAAUCGAAGAGACACUGCUCCCCGAAUCUCGAGAGCCAGACCCCCAGCAUGAUUGCUUUCUCAAAAAUUGAAGAAGCAUCGUUCUCCGAAUCUCGAGAGCCAGAUACCACAUACCACUUUUUCAAAGUGCUCUGACAGAGUUAAAACAUGUGAAGCUGGCAGCUCCCACUACCGUGCUAUGACCAAGCAGGGUAAAGGAAUAACAUUACUACUUGUUGUUAGGGAGACUCCUAUAUAUGUCGACCUCCAUCUCCAACGGACAAGCAGACCUGCAAAAAUGCUCAACCCUUCCUCAUAUCUGAGAGGGCACUCCCAACGAAGCCUUUCGAAAUAUUCAGCUUUCUUUCCCCCCGAUAAUACCUCUGCAAACAAGCUAUACUAGAGCAAGAAUAUCUCAUAUCAUCAAGGUUAAAAGCAAGAGUAUCCCAUAUCAUGCUUUUUCCCUGUCUUUUCAUUUGGCCUUGUUUUUACCUGUAAGAUAAGGAGAAAGAGAGCAAUCAGUCAGCACUUGAAAUCAAGCUCCCAGCCAGGAACUGACUGCCUGGAACCCCUUACCUGAUUACUUACCUGGCAUUGCUCUCGAGUACUCAUCUUCAACAUCUUAUGUUUCCAGGGAAGAUACCGCAUCUGCUUGAGGAACGGAUAGGGCAAGUGCGAAGGAUGCAAGGAAGCAUGUGGAGACAAGCGGAACAGCACACGUGCCGAUACAUCCAUUACUCUGUCAAAAGCAAAAGUAUCCCAUAUCAGCAGGGUCGAACGUACUCUAGAUUUGAUGGACUUGUUUUGACCCUCAAAUUCUUCAGUCGGCCUUAUACUCUGGAGGAAACCAGAAAACCUUCCAGCUCAGUUCAAGAAUAAGCCUGUGGAAAGUUACUUCUUCAAAAGCAAAAGUAUCCCAUAUCAUCUCUUCUCAUUUUUCUUCUCUUUAUCCUUCAUGCUGCUGCAAGAUGGGGAGAAGGUGAACAAUCAGCCGGAGCUCUGAUUGCUUACCUUGUCUGUCACCUCUUUCAGCAGAUCCUCUAGCUCGGCGACUUGGGGGACUCCUACUACAUGGUUUGUAUCGCGCUUGACCAAGCCUGAAACUACAAGUAAGCUUCAAGUGAAAUUGAUACAUUACCUUGUGCAUCUCCACCAGUUAAAGAUACCACCCCUGGAUGGAGGAAGAGUACUUCCAGAGAAGCUGCCACAUCUACCUAUGAGACAGAUAAGGCAAGUCAAGAUGAUACCACACUCCGAUACUUAGAAGUUUCGUGAUUACGAGAUCAUUCUCCCACAAUAUUUCCUAAUGUCAUUUGUACUCUAAUGUCAUUUGUACUAAAUCAUUCACUUGUACUCACUAAAGGAGAGCUUGAACCUAUGUACUUGUGUAAACCCUUCACAAUUAAUGAGAACUCUUCUAUUCCGUGGACGUAGCCAAUCUGGGUGAACCACGUACAUCUUGUGUUUGCUUUCCUAUCUCUAUCCAUUUAUAUACUUAUCCACACUAAUAACCGGAGCAAUAUAGCGAAGAUCACAAAAAGCGACCAUUUUCGCUACCUAGGAUCUAUCUUGCAAGAGAACGGAGAAUUAGAUGGAGAUCUCAACCAUAGAAUACGAGCUGGGUGGAUGAAGUGUAAGAGUGCAUCCGGCAUGUUGUGUGACCGUCGUAGGCCACUGAAUUUCAAGGGAAAAUUUUAUAGGACGGCAAUAAGGCCAGCGAUGUUGUAUGGCACAAAAUGUUGGGCGGUGAAACAUCAACACGUACACAAAAUGGGUGUAGCGGAGAUGAGGAUGCUUCGUGGGAUGUGUGGGCACACGAGAAAGGAUAAGAUUGAGAAUGAGGAUAUCCGAGGUAAAGUAGGAGUAGCCGAAAUUGAAGGAAAGAUGAGAGAAAAUCGGUUCCGGUGAUUUGGACAUGUGCAAAGAAGGCCGACUGACGCUCCGGUUCGAAGAUGUGACUACGGGACAGAGGUUCAGGGCCGAAGGGGUAGAGGAAGACCUAGGAAAACUUUGGAAGAGACUCUAAGAAAAGGCUUAGAGUACUUGGAUCUAACGGAGGACAUGACACAAAACCGAGCGCAAUGGCGUUCUAGGAUUCAUAUGGCCGACCCCACUUAGUGGGAAAAGGCUUUGUUGUUGUUGUUGUUGUUGUUGGAAGAACAUGUAUGAUGAUAUUUUAUACAAAAUGCAAAAAAAUUUUGGAAUUCCUAACAUGGCUAUACCAGAAGAAGAACUAAAAAAUUCUGUCUUAUUUGAAUUAGAAUUACUUUUUAACAAUGCUUCCAUAUCUUUGGACAAGUAUAAUUUGCCUGAUGAAAAUAAAAUGAUAGAAAUUAAAAACAAACUUUUAAGAGGAGUUAAAUUAUGAUUGUGAAGAAUUGUCCAAAAAGCAUGCAAUUUUAAAAUCACAACUUAACGAAGGUCAAAAAUAUGUAUAUGAUACUGUGAUAGAUAUUGUGGAUAGAAAAAAAGUCUUUUUUUUUGUAUAUGGUCAUGGAGGAACUGGAAAAACCUUUUUGUGGGAUACAAUUAUAUGUAAACUUAGAUCUGAAAGAAAAAUUGUUUUAGCUGUAGCUUCAUCAGAAAUAGCAUCAUUAUUAUUACCAGGUGGUAGAACAGCUCAUUCAAGAUUUAAAAUUCCAUUGAUUAUUACUGAUUCUUCAAUUUGUCCAAUAAAGAAAAAAAACACAUCUUGCUACAUUAAUUGAAAAAACUGAUUUAAUCAUAUGGGAUGAAGCACCUAUGAAUCAUAAAUAUUGUUUUGAAGCAUUAGAUAAAUCGCUUUCCGACAUUUUAUCACAUCUUCAAAAUUCAGAUAAGAAACUUCCAUUUGGUGGUAAACCUCUUUUACUAGGUGGUGAUUUUCGACAAAUACUACAUGUUUUACCUGGAGGAACCAAAGAAGAUAUAAUAAAUGCUUCCCUAAAUAGUUCUUAUUUGUGGUCCCAUUUUAAAAUUUUUCGUUUAAAAGAAAACAUGAGAUUGUCAAGAAAUGAUUUAAACAUUGAAGAAAAAAAGAAAAUCAGUGAUUUUGCAAAUUGGAUUUUACAAAUAGGUGAUGAAAAAAUUAACGAUGCAAAUCAUUCAAAUGACAGUGAUACAUCAUUUAUUCAAAUACCUGAAGAUUUAAUAGUUCAUCCUUCUAUAAACCCAAUUUCUUCAAUUUUUGAAGCAACUUAUCCUAAUUUUAAAAAUUUGUUUGACAAUUUUGUUUACUUAAGAGAACGAGUUAUUGUUACACCUCGGAAUACAACAGUAACAGAAAUAAACAAUUAUAUAACCAAUUUGUUACACCUCGGAAUACAACAGUAACAGAAAUAAACAAUUAUAAACAUUUUUAAGCUACGAUUCUUUGUGAUCCUCAAGUGGAAAUGUUGACAAUCUUGAAAUAAUGUAUCCUACAAAAAUUUUAAAUACGCUUGAUUUCAAUGGUUUACCUACACAUAAUUUAAUUUUAAAAAUAGGAAUGCCAAUUAUGUUGUUGCGAAAUUUAAAUCAAUCUUAUGGUUUAUGUAAUGGAACUAGAUUAAUUGUCACACAGUUAUUUCCUAGAAUUAUUGAAGCUAUGAUACUUACUGGAAAUAAUGUUGGUCACAAAGUAUUCAUACCGAGAAUCACUCUUACACAACAACUGAAAAACAAGUGGCCUUUCAUUUUUAAAAGACGUCAAGUUCCAGUGAGGCCAUGUUAUGCAAUGACCAUUAAUAAAAGUUAAGGGCAAUCUUUAAAACAAGUUGGACUAUAUCUUUCUGAACCUGUUUUCACUCAUGGUCAAUUAUAUGUUGCAUUGUUUAGAGUUACAUCAAGAGAAGGUUUAAAAUUUUUGAUCACAAAUGUAGAAAAUGAUGUGAACAACCAUACUCUAAAUAUAGUUUUCAAAGAUGUGCUACAAAAUUUAGAACAAAAUUCUUAAUUUUAUUAAUGGAUACAUAACGUUUUACUUAGUUUUAGAUCUUUUGUUUAAAUCAUUAGAUUUAUCAUUCAAAUAUGUAAUUUAAUUCUCUUUUCUGUUUCAACAGACGUUGGUCUCCAUUUUAUAUGGCUUUCGUCUGCAGCUUUCAAAAUCCUUCUACUUUACCAAGGUUUGCAACCUAUCCUAUCAUCAAUUUUUGUGGCUGUCAAAUCCAUUUUCACCCUUAGUUUUAAAUUUUGACUUUAAUCUCAUUAGCUUCAUUCUAAUUGAAUAAAUUUGUCUUAACGUACAGUUUUCUAUUGGAAAAAGAAUUGAUCUUUGAAUAAGAGUUGUAAUCUUCGUUACUAUGGCUAGACUAGCAGGUAAACACUCAAUCUUUUCCUAUCUGUGAAUGUUGAUUCCUGUUUAUUCAAGUUAGAUUAAUUCCUUUUUAUUUUCAAGCUUUCAAUGUUCUAAACUAUUUCACUUUUUAAAUUAUCAAAUGAUGUUUCAUGAUACUAACUCCUCUUACAAGACCAUUAUGAAUCCGACCAAAUAUAACAUUCUCAUUCCCUUUUCCCAACAUUUACAAUGGAACUUUUUUCCACAUUUUCCAAGUAUGUUCUACAUGUUUGUUGCCGCACAAGGUUUUGAUUUUCCAUGUUUUUUUUGGAUGACUUUUGUUAGUAUCUCAUGUGCUUUGGUUUUUUAUUUCAGAAAUUUUUUGUCCAUUUUGGAUUCACUUCGAACUUGACUGAGACCCAUCUAAUCCGACGGCUUCCAGGUGAGUUUUGCAUGUUUCAUGCGUUUGUUUUUCAGAUCGUUUGCUAACAUUUUACAUUUAAAUUCAAUGUUUACUAACAUUUCUCUUCAGAGGAAUCGCCUGUUACCAAUGUAGAUAAAAACUAUCUUCCUUUUGUUUGGUCUAAACACAUGACCAAUUACCUGGCUGAUCACCAAUCGGUUUAGUUGGAUAUCCAAGAGUAUCAAUCUUGAUAUCCCCACUAAAGAUAUACCCUCUCCACAUACCUUGCCAAUAAAGAAAUUGUUAAAUCUAUAUAUAAAUCACUUUCAUUACUUAUUGGUUAGAUUUAACAAUUCCCCUACCUCUAAGAUGUUUUUUGGCUUGGUUAAAACAUGUAGAAAGAGUAUGGGAGCAUCUCUAUUUAUACUUUUAGAUCUCCAUAAACUCCUCAGUGAACAAUCAACUUCAUUGGCCAUGUAUUUAUACCAAAUAAAAUAAGAAAAUCUUUAUCUACAAAUUGGUAACAGUCCAUUCCUCUAAAGAGAAAAGAUGGAAGUGAUAAUCAUUUGUCCAAAUCAUGGAAGUUGAAACAACUCAGCAAAUUAUAUCUCUACAUUACAUAGAGAUACCAAACCAAAUGUAUCUGAUCCAUCUUUCUACAACAUUCUUUUUUCGUUUUUGCAAAAACAAUGUUAUAGAACUAACUACCAAUUGACAGUAUUAGAUUACAUUUGACCAAAGAAACAAUAAUAUACUAUCGUUGUCAAUGAUAUCCAUUGUGAUUUGUGAGUAUCUUUAGGAGGAAGUGAGGAGAACAAAACACGUACAUUCUUCUUCUUUUUUCUUUCUAUGUGUUUUUGGCUGGAGCAUGUAAGGGACAGAUAAAGGAAGCAGAUUGAGCUGAAUGAUCUCGCUCACACAACAAUCAUAAUUGUAAGCUCAAGAGUAACUGUUUUUGUGUUACUUGCAUCUCUUAGUAAUUAGCAGUCCUUUCCUUUACAUUUGAUGAAAUCAUUUCUAUACACCUGUCAACUUCCUUUUUUAAUUUAUCAUUCUACCAAUUUUAUCUUAUUUCUUUUAACAUCUCUCACUUUUUUUCUCAUUCAAAUAUGCAUUACUGAAGCUUUGUUAUACAACUAGCCCCUUGCUUCUCUUGCCUACCAUCAUUUUCUACUAUUGGAAUAGAAAUUUAUACAUGUUUUAUAAACUUUUAAAACCCGCAGCAUCGCGCGGGUUCUAUUACUAGUUAUACCUAUAAUAAGACCAUCUCCAAAUAUUAAGAUAAAAAAUUUAGGUUUUAACUCAAAAAUAGUUUUUCAGUUCCAACCGUUAUGGGUUAAAUUUUUAACGAAAGAUUAUUAAGAAAUGAAAUUAAGCUAAAUUAUGUUCAUUAAGUAACCUUUUAAAAAAUAAAAAUUAUGUAGAUUAUUCUAAUUUCAUAAACAUUUUAACCGAAAAAUAAUUAGAAUUAGACUCCAAUAUAUAAUGAAAAAACACUAAAUUAAUUAUUUUCUCUAAACAAAGCAUUGUAUGUUGAUUUAAUUUUAGACUGUUAAAUCUCUUUUUUUUUUACAGUUAAAUAUAUCAUAUUCGACCUUAUUCGUUAGAUUUAAUGUAUUUAUAAAUUUAAAAUUAAAAUUAAUAAUUUUGAAUCAAGACCGUCCAGAUCAAUGUAAUGCAAUUGAGAUUGCACAUGGGUGGCUGACAACCCAUCAGGUCCCCUUUUUCUUCUGGCGAGUUUCCUUCCUUUCAGUGAGUCAAUAAUGCACGUCAAUCAUACGCGUUUCCAUACUUUUUUGGUACACGCGUCCGCCAUCUAUUUCCUUUUUCUUCGUUGAUGUGCCGAAACUGCCCUCUAGCUGGAUCUCCGGAAUUCCAGAAGGAUCCUUUCCGGAUCUGGAUGAUGAAAAUUCUUAAAUCAUGUAUGUUCAUCGUAUAUCUAAUACUAUUUAUAUUUAAUAUAAAAUAAAUAUUUAAAAUAAUUUCUGAAAGUCCGAUUUACAAUUAAUAGACACAACCUGAAGAUUCUCAGGAUCCUCACAUAGAGAAUCCUCAUUCUCCGGAAUUGGGUUAAUGGUUCUGUGUUCUUCUUGAUAAUUCCUCUCUCAUCAUUGCACCCCUCCCACUAAUUCCUCUCUCCCACGCCUCUCACUCGAUCUCUCAUUACACUCAAGACUCCUCCAUCUUCCAAUACUGUCACUCUCUCUCAUCCCUCACAAACUCCUCCCAUCUGUCCCCCUCUGCAACUCUCCUUCUCCCUCUCGGCAAAACCCACCGUAUCACCUCCAAACACCAUCCAAACUCACCCAAAAAUCAAAGCGGUCAAGGCGGUGGAGAAGUGGGUUAAUGGUUCUGUGUUCUUCUUGAUAAUUGUAUGUGUUUAUGUCCUCAUGAUAUUAUGAGAUAUCAUGGGAUUGUUUGUGAUCCCAUUAAAUACAUCGCAAUAAGGAUAAUAAUUUUUUUUUUUUUAUGAGGGAUAAUGGUUCUAUUUUUUUAUGGUGAAUUGUCGAGUGUUGUGCACGUAUUCAAUUCAGAAUUUAAAAGAUUUUAAUGGAUUUUAUAAAUUCAAGAAUUUUUAUGUAGUUUAAUUGAAGAGUUUUUUUUUUUAUAAAUUUUGAUUUAAUUUUUUAAAUUUUUUAUAGAAGAUGUGAGAUUUAUAAAUGCUUAAAAUUCUCUCAAAUGUUCUAUAAUUUCUUAACUUUUUCAGUUCUUUAAAAUAAAUUUCUCAAUUUGUAAUUGAAUACGCUUAGAAAGUAUAAAUUUCAUUAAAAUUCUAAUUGAAUACAAUCGAAUUUUAAUAACUUAUCAUAAAAUCAUGAUUGAAUAUGUUGAAUUUUAUACAAUUACUUUAAAUUUUAAUUGAAUACCCUUAAAUUACGUAUUUGAUCGUUCUCUAAUCAAGAUAAUCUAAUGUGAAGAACGAAGCACAAUCCGUUGAAAAAAAUGUUCUCAAAUUCGAUUUUUUCCUCAAUGGUUUCAAUUAAUUAAUAUUUUACGUUAAUAGUUACCAAUCUAUUUGUCCUGAGAUAUUUCAACUUUUCUGAUAUAAAUUUAACAAUACAAUUUUAUCAACUUUUUGAUAAUUCUUAACUCACUUGGUGAUUAAGUUGUUUAGAAGUGUUUUCACCAUGUUUUUAUAAAAAAAAUUCAAAUUCUAAAUUUUAAUUCAUCUUAGCUAACAAUUGAAAAUUAUAAAGAUAUUUGAAAAGUAAAAGAAUUUUCAUGUUAAGUAUAUGAUAGUGUUGUUCCACCAUGAUUAGUUUUAGUAAAUAAGAUAUAUAUUUAAUCUGCUUUAAUUUGUAUUUGUAUUUAAUAGAAAUAAUUGUUUGAUAAAUGUGAAUAUAUUGUCUGCAUGCUUAAUAACAAAUUAUUUGCUUUUUUUGGGUGCCAGCUGUUCUCAACUCCAUUGAUUGUGACACACAACAACAAUUUGCGAUGUGCUCCAAAUAUUUGCAAAUUCAAGAACACUGAAGCAAAUUAUUCUCUCCAUAGUGCUCAAGCCGAUGACAGCCGGCAUGCUAUUGCUAUUUUACAACAAAACAUUAUUUAAACUAUUUUUUUAAAAAAUAAACAAGGUGAUUGCUAGUGUUGUAGUGUAACACUAAUUUGGGAAUUUCACAUUUUCUCCUUCUUUGAUUUAUUUUUUCACUCAUCAUUCCUUUCAUCAGAUAUGCUUUUCAGCAUUAUUACAGGUUUCAGUUUUUUUGAAACUCAUGGAUAAUUUUUAUUUUAUUUUUAAAAAGAUUUAUUCUAGAGGUCGGAAAGAUUUAUAGAGACAUUUCAGUUUCUCUCUAACCACAGUUAAGCAGCACAGUCAAGCAAACUCACUAGCUAUAUUUGUUGAUGCAAUGAGUGACUUUUUAGUUUUCUUAGCUUAGUGAAUAUGUUAUUUAUUGCAUUCUCUGCCUUUUAAAAAAAAUUGUUUUCUUAUGAAUUAAUAAUAAAUAAAAAUAUGAGAACACAAAUUUAGGAAACAAGAGUGUAAGCAUACAACCGAUAUUAUUAAUUGUACGUAAACAUUGAUUAAAAAAGCUUCUUAUGAAUUAAUAAUAAAUAAAAAUUUGAGAACACAAAUUUUGGAAACAACGAGUGUAAGCAUACAACCGAUGGUAUUAAUUGUAUGUAAAAAUUGAUUAAAAAAGCUAUGAAUGUAUCAAUACAUUUUAUGACUCACCAACUUUUACCAAAUCAAUAACUUACAACUAAGAAUGUGAGUAAAUUUUGGUAUAAGUGUUAUACAAGUGUUGUUUUAUAAAAAUUGUACGCAAGUCUAUUCUGCUCGAGAUUAUAACAUGAAAAAUACAUAUGUGGAGUUUGUUUUGUUUAAAUUUGGGAGUUUUGUGAUUUUGAGAUUUAUAAAUAUCAUAAUUUUAAUCCGUGAAUUUUUUUAAUUCAGAUUAUUUUAUACAUUCUGAUGAGAGAGUGAGUUGAAAUUGCGAUUUGUUUUUGUCAUUGUAUAUAGGCAGAAGUUGGUUCAAAGUUGAAUUAACAGUUAUAUCUUUUCCAAUUCAAUGUUUGUAGAUAAUAACGAUGCACUCAUUCAAAGUUCUCUAUCUAGCUAAGAAUGUUGGUAGUGGUGAAGUCCUACUGAAUUGCUGAAAAAAAGGUCCUCUCCAAUUGGUUUGAACCAAACUCCAAUCCAAAAAUAAUAAUAAUAAUAAAAUAACACUAGGUAACCACACUCUAUCCUUAUUUUCUUUGUAGUAUAUUUCUGUUGUCAUAUAAAUUUGCUUCAUUUAGCUUUAGGGUACGCAUGUUAACUUAGAAGAAGAAGAUAAAACUUAAUGCUUUUAGAUUUCUCAGUUCCUUUUGCUUUUAGAUAGAAAAUUGCAAUUGUAUCCAGCAGAACUUUACAAGAAAAAAAGAAGAAAUUAUUACGUUCUCUCUCUUCUUACUUCAUUAGCUUAUUCUCAAUUUACAGAACAACCGUUUUGAAUUGGUGCUCUAACGAACGUAUAUAUUGAAGAGCAAUUCACUUCAUCCAUAACCAACAGAGCUAAGGGUACGUUCUUUAAUUAUAACCAUAUUUGAUUUAAGUUUGAAUCUUGGAUCUCAUUUAUGGUAAUUUGGUGGUUGUCUUCAUAUUUGAUUUGAUUUGAUUUAGGGGCUUUUCACAUGUAAUUAGGCCCUUAAUAACAUGGAAAAAUGCUCCGGAUUCAAUAGUUUGUAGAAUCGAUUUACUUUAUAACACUAAAGAAAUUUUACAAAUAAGAAUCAAUUGGAACAUGACAAGUGGAUAGAUGAGGGUGUCGGAAUCGGGAUAUGGGCUAGUGUAGCUUAUAAUUUAGGGUUUAGGACUCGGCCUUUGGACGGAGUCCUAAACUUGUUAUCGCUUAACCCUAGGUCAUAAAAAUUAACCCUAUGUUUUUUUAUAAAAUAAAAUUAAAAAAAAAAUCAACAAUCGUGAGUUUUUUGGUAAACAGUGGGGCAUUUGGUUUGCUUCUAAAUUUGGUGCCAUGCAAGCUUGUACUUUUUAGUCAGUGUGUUGAUUAUUUAUCGUGUUUAUGUUAAAUCUGCAAUAGUUCAGUGUACAUACGUGAUGUAAUCUUGAAAAAGAAUGAAGAAAAUCAGAGAAAUUUAGAGAUGAAAUGCUUGGGCUAAUAGUAGCAGCUCAGCAUCCUUCAUGCAUUCUUAUCUCUUCCCCUUCACUACCAAACAAAGACCAUUACUCUGAGCCCUUCAAUCUAAAAAAUUAAUUUGGUGCAUACACUUGUUUACUGAAACCAAGUCCACACCUAGUUCACUAACAACAAAGUCAACACCAGCAGCUACAUAACACUAGCCUUAUGGAAUUCAAGCAAACAAACACAAACAAAUUUCUUGUGUUCCAAGUUGUAGGAUCAAAACCAAAUCUCAUUUAGCUCCAACAUUCCCUUCUAAAUGGAUUAUGCUUUGACUCCAAGCAGUCUUCUCAGGUAAACAAAUUUGUGUUUAGGCAGAGUUUUGCUGAAAAUAUUUGCAGUCUGAUCUUUAGACUUGCAGUACAACAACUCAAUUGUGUUUUCCAACAAUGCCUCUAUGAUGAAAUGAAAUUUUCUUUUAAUGUGUUCAGUCCUUUGAUGGAACACAUGGUUUUUACUCCUGGUUAUUGCAGAGUUGUUGUCACACAUGAACUGAGUGGCAUCCAAUUGCAUUUCCUAAAAAUCCUUCAAAACAAAUCUUAGCCAUAUAGCUUGAAAUGUUGCCUCAACAACACUCGCAUACUCAACUUCUGCGUUGGAUAGUGCAAAACUUUGUUGCUUGACUGAAGCCCAAGAAAAUAUCCCAUAUCCAAAUGUAAAGGCAUAGUCUGAGAUACUUCUUAUAUCAUCCUCACUUCCACCCGUCACUAUUAUAGAAGCCAAUUAGAUCUGCAUUUUCACUUUAUAUACUUGAAACAAAAAUCCAAGGUUAAUGAGAGGUGUCCGAGGACCUUUUUUUUGCAGUUUCCAUGUGAAUCUUUGUUAUACUAUGCAUAAAUCUUGAUAAUAGGUUUGCUACAAACAUGAUAUCAAGUCUUGUUGCUGUCAAAUAGAGUGAAAAUGCAAUUGGAUGCCAUCAUUUUUACACUUUCAUUUGUAAUCAAUGGGGUACAAAAUCUCUGUUUGUAGCAAUUGGACCUUUUUUUUGCAGUUUCCAUGUGAAUCUUUGUUAUACUAUGCAUAAAUCUUGAUAAUAGGUUUGCUACAAACAUGAUGGAACUAAAGUUGCUGAGAAAAGUUGAAUUUACAUCCAACAGAUACAAUUUCCAACCUUUAUGUGUGGCCAAAGCAAUUAAAGUCCUAAUAGUGUCCAACCUUGCCAUGUGCAAUUGGACCUUUUUUUUGCAGUUUCCAUGUGAAUCUUUGUUAUACUAUGCAUAAAUCUUGAUAAUAGGUUUGCUACAAACAUGAUGGAACUAAAGUUGCUGAGAAAAGUUGAAUUUACAUCCAACAGAUACAAUUUCCAACCUUUAUGUGUGGCCAAAGCAAUUAAAGUCCUAAUAGUGUCCAACCUUGCCAUUGGAGCAAACGUUUCAUUGAAAUUCACUCCAGGUUGUUGGAAAUAACCCUUAGCAACUAGUCUUGCCUUGUUCUUUUGUACAAAGCCAUCUAGAUUCAGUUUCUUCUUAUAGACGCAUUUCACACCUAUCACUAGUUUGUCCCUUGGUCUAUUCACAAGUUCCCAAGUUGAGUUUUUCUCAAUCAUAAAAUUCCAUCACUCAUUGCCUUCUGCUAAGAUUGGUCAUUCUCAGCUUCUUAAAGGCUUUCAGGUUCCAUUAUACGAUAGUUGCAGGUUGCAUAAAUCUCACUCAACCUCCUCAUUCUUAAUGAUGUUGAUCCUAAGGAAGAGUCUUGCACUUCUGGGUCCUCUGGUGUUGAACUUAAACGUUGGAGAGACUAAAUUUUAAAUACAAUUUGACUCUCAGUUUGUGUUUCACAUUCCACUUCAUCAAGUCGAAGUGGUACUAAGAUGAUAUCUUCAACCGUUUUAUCCCAACUCCUAACAGCUUCUUUAUUAAAUAUAACAUCCCUCAAAAUAAUCAUCUUGUAAGUUUUAAGACUGAAAAAUCUAUACCCUUUCUCUUAACUCCUAUAUCCCAUAUAGAUGCAUUUGGUGGUGUUGUCUUCAAGUUUGUGUCUCAAUUGUGUUGGCAUUUGUGCAUAACAAAAAGAACACCUUUGGAUGCUUCACACCAAGUUUCCUGCCACUAAAUGCUUCAAAAGGAUUCAUUUUAUCAAGUGUCUUUAUUGGACAUAUGUUGAGAAGAUAGACUGCAGUUUUAACUGCCUCACUCCAAAAUUAAUGUGGCAUCUUCUUUUCAAGCAACAUGGAUUUUUCCAUUUCAAGCCGUCUUAUUUUUCCUUUCUGUAAUACCAUUCUACUGUGAUGAGUAAGCAACAAUUAGUUGUUUUGUAGUCCUAUAUCCUCACAUAACUCCUUGAACUUGAAUCACUUCUAAGCUUUUUUAUUUUUAGUCCACGUUGUAGUUCAACCAUUGCUUUGAACUUUUUGAAAACAAAAACAUUACUCUUACCACAUAAUUUUACCAUCAUUUGUAUCAUCUCCUAAUAGAGAUGAGAACCAAAUGUGUUAGUGAGCACUACUUUAUUAAAGAGAGAUUACAAAUAUGUAUUAACUGUAGCAUUACUCUUUGGACAAUAGAGAACACUUUUGCCUUGUUUCUCACACCCAAACCAUUCUUGUGCAGUCAUUUAUGAACAAUAAGAAAUAUCAGUUUUCAUUGAGUGGUGGUGUUUGCAUUGGACCACGAACAUCAAUGUGGAUGAGCUCUAAGGGUAUAUUCAUCAGUGUAUUCUUGCUUUACCUGUGGAGUAGGUUUCUUAUGCCACUUCUUGCCCUUUCUUUUCUACAUUUUUUCUAGUUUCAGUUACUCCUUUGAGGGCUAUAGUUACUCUCCCUGCCAUGUAUACUAAGACUAGCAAAUGCCUUCUUUGCCGAGUUUUCAGAGUGCCUAUUUGAUCUUUGUUCAUUGCCCUUCAAGGUAUCUAUCAUCUCUUCAACCCCAACAAUGUCAAGAUCUUUGGUUUCCUCUAUAAUGGAUGCAAUAGAGUCAUAGGUCCUAGGCAAGCUAAUUAAAAUUUAUGCACUAGUUUUUUAGUUCAUAGUAGAAGCUAAUUAAAAUUUAUGCACUAGUCUCAAAAUUCCUGUUGCAAGACAUCCCAAGUAGGCUUGGAUGUAUUCCAGUUUGAGAUUCGAGGAAAUAUUUCACCUGAGUCUGCUCGCUGGAUGAUACUGAGAGCUUUUGCAUCUCUAGUUUCAUUUUCUUUCAUUGCAAUCCUCUUCACUGAUAGAUGUUCAUCAUCACCCGAGUCAUCCUCCAUAUCUGGGUUUUCAGACCCCUUUUCCACAAGAGAGAUCGUGAGACUUGAAUAUAGUCUUCAUUUUAAUGAACCAAAAAUUGUAGUUAGACCCAUUAAAGAUUGGAGCCCUUAAGACUCCACCACUUUCGAACCAGCCAUGUGAGACUUUGAAUCGAAAGUUAGGGUUCUUCGAGACUUGCGUUUUGUUUCCCCGUUUCUUCUUCACAAAUUCAAGAAACGAAACACCCAAACAUAAUGAUCAGAGCCUGAGCUUUGAGACUGUAGAUGCACAAAAUCAGUGAAGACUUUGGUACAACAGAAAGUGUCAGGUUUUGUGACAUUCGCUUGGUUGCUUCGGUCACUAGUAAGGAUAAGUAUGUAAAUGAAUAGAGACAGAGAAGCAAACACAAGAUAUACGUGGUUCACCCAGAUUGGCUACGUCCACGGAGUAGAGGAGUUCUCAUUAAUUGUGAAGGGUUUACACAAAUACAUAGGUUUAAGCCCUUCUUUUGUGAGUUCUAGUGAAUAGUUUAGUACAAAAUGACAUUAGAGAUUAUUGUGGGAGAAUGAUCCCUAUUUAUAAAAGAGAGUUUCUAGUUUUGUUCUGACAUUGACACGUGUCGUGUUGUGAUUGGCUUCUGAUGUUGACACGUGUCGCGCUGUGAUUGGCUUCUGAUGUCGACACAUGUCGCAUUGUGAUUGGCCUCCUGGUUGAAGGGAAACUCUUCUAGGUCCUUGACGGUAUAACGUUGACUGGUGCUCAGUAGUUUCGGGAUUGGUUAACUAUGGUACAAACAGUGCUCCCUUAAGUUCCUGAGUGAGGGAAACUCAUCGGUUGGGGACUUGCAAGAUCCAAGCCAUUGAGUAAUCACGAAACUUCUAAGUACUGAAGUGUGGUAUCAUUCUCACUUACCUUAUCUGUCUCAUAUGUAGAUGUGGCAUCUUCUCUGGAAGUACUUUUCCUCCAUCAAGGGGUAAUAUCUUUAACUGAUGAAGAUGCAUAAGGUAAUGUAUCAAUUUCACUUGAGGCUUACUUGUAGUUUCGGGCUUGGUCAAGUGCGAUACAAACCCUAUAGUAGGAGUCCCCCAAGUCGCCGAGCUAGGAGAUUUGUCGAAUGAGGUAACAGACAAGGUAAGCAAUCAGACUUCUAAGCAAGCAACCUGGAUCGGAGGUUCGACUUCGGCUUCAUGUUGAUUGUUCUCUUUCUCUUUGUGUCGUAAAUAGCACUAAGGAUAAGGAGAAGCAAAUGGAGAAGAGAUGAUAUGAAAUACUUUGCUUUUGAAGAAGUAACUUUCCAUAGGCUUAUUCUUGAACUAGGUUGGAGGGUUUUCUGGUUCCCUCCAGAGUAUAAGGCCGACUCAAGAAUUUGAGGGUCAAAACAAGUCCAUCAAAUCUAGAGUACGUUCGACCUUGAUGAUAUGGGAUACUUUUACUGUUGACAGAAUAGUGAAUGUGGUAUGGAAAUGUGUCGUGCUGUAGUGAUAUGUUUCAGCUCAUCGUUGAAUCUUCUGCUUCAAUCUUUUGCAUGGCAGAAGUGGUGUGCAACCUUUGCAUUUAAAUGGUCAUUCAGAACAUUCCUUCAUAGUGACUCAUCCACGCUUGGCAGCUUCAGUGUAAAGAGCCAAUAUCUGAUCAACUGUCAUGAGGUAUUUGCCGAAGGAAUUCAUGACCUUGACAGCAGUUGAGGAUGAGUACUCGAGAGCAAUGCUAAAUAAGCAACCAGGCAAAGGUCCCAGGCAGUCAGUUCCAGAUUGGAGGUUUGAUUUCAGGUUCCGACUGACUGCUCUCUUUCUCCUUAUCCUGCAGGUGUGGACAAGGACAAAGACAAAGACAUGGAGAAAACAUGAUAUGGGAUACUCUUGCUUUCGACCCUGAUGAUAUGAGAUAUUCUUGCUCUGGUGUAGCUUGUUUGCAAAGGCAUUAUUGGGGGGAAAGAAAGCUGAGUAUUUCGAGAGACUUCGUUGGGAGUGCCCUCUCAGAUAUGAGGAAGGGUUGAGCAUUUUUGCAGGUUUGCCUGUCCGUUGAGGAUGGAGGUCGACAUAUAUAGGAGUUUCCCGAACAACAAGUAGUAAUGUUAUUCCUUUACCCUGCUUGGUCAUAGCACAAUAGUGGGAGCUGCCAGAUUCACGUGUGUCAGAGCACUUUGAAAAAGUGGUCUGUGGUAUCUGGAAAGCUGAUGUUGCGUGUGAAGAUUACAGACAAGCUUUAUCCAAGAAGAUCUGGCUCUCAAAGUUGAGAAAGCGGUGCCUCUUCGGUUUUCGAAUAGGCAAUCAUGUCGGGGAUCUGGCUCUCGAGAUUCGGAGAACGGUGCCUCUUCGAUUUUUGAGAAAGCAAUCCUGCUGGGAGUCUGGCUCUCGAGAUUCGAAGAGCGGUGUCUCUUCGAAUUUUGAGAAAGUAAUCAUGUUGGGAGUCUGGCUCUCAAGAUUUGGAGGACGGUGCCUCUUCGAUUUUGGAGCAAGCAAUCUUGUUGGGAGUGUUUUCUCGAAUGUGAGUAAAGGUUGGGCAUGUUUGCUAGUCUACCUUGCCACGGAGCACAGAGGUUGACACACAGGGACUUUCCAAUUAUCCGGCGGUGGUGCUGUUCCUUUACCCUUGUGGGUAAUAAUAUGGUAGCUAGACCUUCAAAAUUUAUGUGUCUAAACUUUGUUAGUGUUAUUUCUUUGCUAUUCUUUUACCCUUCUUGGUCAUAGCGAUGUAGUAGGAGCUGCAAGCUUCACGUGUCUAAACUUUGUCAGAGAUCUUUGGCAAAGUUAUCUGUGGUACCUCUGAGCUGAUGGUGCGUGUGGAAAGUGGAUGAUUGAACAAUAAGAUUCACGUGCUUUCUACUUCACCAGAAAUCUUCAACAGAAUGCCCGUAAUUUCAGCAAAGUUGAGUGUGCAUGUGACAGGUGCUGAUAAGGCUGAAAAAGCAGAUGCCUCUUCGAUUUCUGAGAUCUGCCCUCGUGGUCUCUGAGCAGCCCAACUUUUGAGAAAACAAUCGCCUCUUCGAUUUCUGAGAUCGGCCAUCGUGGUCUAUGAGCAGCCCAGCUUUUGAGAAAGCAAACGCCUCUUCGAUUUCUGAAACUCCGUUGAGUGCAGAUUUUUAUAGAGGUUGGCAUUAAGUUCCAAAUCACACUUGAAUCUUAACCAAUAAAAGCUAUCUUCUUGCACUUCUAAGAUCUUGAUUUGUACGACCUCUUCUCUCUUCAACACCUUUGAAAAUGUCUGGCCCCUCCGGCAGUGGUGUUGUUCCUUUACCCUUGUGGGUAAUAAUAUGGUAGCUAGACCUUCAAAAUUUAUGUGUAUAAACUUUGUUAGUGUUAUUUCUUUGCUAUUCUUUUACCCUUCUUGGUCAUAACGAUGUAGUGGGAGCUGCAAGCUUCACAUGUCUAAACUUUGUCAGAGAUCUUUGGCAAAGUUAUCUGUGGUACCCCUGAGCUGAUGGUGCGUGUGGAAAGUGGAUGAUUGAACAAUAAGAUUCACGUGCUUUCUACUUCACCAGAAAUCUUCAACAGAAUGCCCGUAAUUUCAGCAAAGCUGAGUGUGCAUGUGACAGGUGCUGAUAAGGCUGAAAAAGCAGGUGCCUCUUCGAUUUCUGAGAUCUGCCCUCGUGGUCUCUGAGCAGCCCAGCUUUUGAGAAAACAAUCGCCUCUUCGAUUUCUGAGAUCGGCCCUCGUGGUCUCUGAGUAGCCCAGCUUUUGAGAAAGUAAACGCCUCUUCGAUUUCUGAAGCUCCGUUGAGUGCAGAUUUUUAUAGAGGUUGGCAUUAAGUUCCAAAGCACACUUGAAUCUUAACCAAUAGAAGCUCUCUUCUUGCACUUCUAAGAUCUUGAUUUGUCCGAUCUCUUCUCUCUUCAACACCUUUGAAAAUGUCUGGCCCCUCCGACCGUCGUUUUGACUUGAACCUUGUUGAAGAGGCAGCCAUGCCUUCUCCAGACAACAUAUGGCGCCCAUCCUUCUUAUCCCCUACUGGUCCUCUUAACGUUGGGGAUUCCGCGAUGAAGAAUGAUAUGACUGCUGCGGUGGUAGCCAGGAACCUUCUCACUCCCAAAGAUAACAGACUACUUUCCAAACGGCUGAUGAGUAAGCUGUUAAGGAUUCUCUGGCUCUAAGUGUUCAGUGUGCAGGUUUUGUGUCUAAUAUGGCCCAACACCUAUUUGCUCGAACCCGCCAAGUUGAAUAAUUGGUUGCUGAAGUGAUGGUCUCAAACAGGAGAUUAGAGGGCUCAAGCAUGAGAAUAAAUAGUUGCACCGGCUCGCACAUGACUAUGCUACAAACAUGAAGAGGAAGCUUGACCAGAUGAAGGAAUCUGAUAGUCAGGUUUUACUUGAUCAUCAGCGGUUUGUGGGUUUGUUCCAAAGGCAUUUAUUGCCUUUGUCUUCUGGGGCUGUACCGCGUAAUGAAGCUCCAAAUGAUCAACCUCUGAUGCCUUCUCCUUCUGGGGUUCUGUCCAGUACUAAGGCUCCGGAUAACCACCCUCUGGUGCUUUCUCUUUCUGGGGCUCUACCGACUGCUGAGACUUUCCCUAAGCAACCUUUGGGAAGGCUCCAUCUUGUUUGUUUAUUUUGACUCAUGUAUAUGUACAUAUUUGUAGCUUAUAAAUAUUAAUAAAUAAGCUUUGCUUCAUUUCAACGUAUUGUGUUAAAUACACCAAAGCCUUCUUCAGAAAGUUCUCUGAAUUUUUUCUUUUGUUGAAACUUGUAUUGUUGAAGCUUUGUGAGUGAAGCAUGUAGUUUAAGGUAGUGUUCCCUUAAUUUCCCGAGUGAGGAAAACUUCUCGGUUGGAGACUUGAAAAAUCCAAGUCACUGAGUGGUUGUGAGACUUCCGAGUAUCAAGGUGCAGUAGCAUAUGGUGGGAGUCCCCCAAGUCUUCAGGCGAGGAGAGUUGCCGAAUGAGGUGUCUUGCUUGCUACUAAUUUGUCAAAGUAACGAAGCCUUGUUUUGAUGUCACACCUUCAUAUAUGCCUUAUCCAAAAAUAUUUCAAGCUGGUUUUAGCUUUGUGAGGGCCCAAAAUUUUUGUGUAGACCAAAACUGCUCAUUUGUUUUCAAGCCCACGAAAAGAGGGGAUCCAGUGCCUUUGUUCAUUUUUUCUUUUGCUUUGCCUUUUCCUUUCUUUGCUGGAAAGGUUUUCUUUUCCACUAAAAAUCUGAAUUACUCCAAAGCCAUCUUGAAGGAAAUGUGGGUGUUGGAGCCAAGGAAGUGAAGGAGGGAGUAAAUGUAGAGGGAGCGGUAGCUCUUCAAUAUAACACCAUUCUCUGUAGCUCAAAUCACAAGGUUGUCUUCAUGAAAAUUGUUCCUUAGCUUGUGAACUACAACAUAUCCAAAUUUGAGAUCCAUCGGAGUAGUACAACUCCAGAUAUUCAGGUAUGAUGAGUGACUGGUCAUCAUUUUUCUGUUAACCCGUCAGACUUAUUGUGAGCUUCAAAACUUCAUUUUCUCUUGUUCAGAUCAACAUACUUUCUUCAUCGAAGUUGUUCCUCAUCAUCUCUUCCAUAACAUAUCAAAAAUUUAGAACAAACUAACAGUUGAAUAUUUCCAGAUCUUCGAAACACCGCAGCAGCUUUGAAGCUUGCAGAAAUCUGACCGUCAUGUUUGGGGCUUCAACACUCUAACUUCCGUCGCUCAAAUAGAAACAUUUCCUUCGUGAACGUUGUUCAUCUGCUCAAGAACUAUAAGAUGUCCAAAAUUCAGCUCCACUGAGGAAGAGCAGGAGUUGCAGAAAUUUGAUAGAUGGAAAGAGGCGGAUGAGGGAAAGGGAGAAAAAGGUUGCUUGGGUUGGAUUUUAUAUAAUUGUAUGUCUGUUUAUGAUAGGGAUAUUGCGGAUGUAAAACAAAAAAUGUUUGUGUUUACUCAUGUGUUGUUGUACAAGUUCAAGAGAAUCUUGGUUUUGUGAACAAAAUUUGUUUAUUUGCCACAAGGUUUUGUGUUUGGAAAAUAGUUUAAUAGGUAAGGUUUAUUGACUAUAGAUUUUUGCUUGGGUAUAUAGCGUGACUAGGUGAAGCUAUUUUUAGGACACAAAACUUGAAUUAGCUUCGCACUAUCUUGAUGAAAAGUGUGUGAAGCUUUUAUAUGUUUUGGUGUUGAAAUUUUGUAUUGUAGAUGAAGCUUUGGGGUUGAAGCUUGAUAGGUGAAGCUUUGGGGUUGAAGCUUUAUAGGUGAAGCUUUGGUCUUGAAGGGUUGAAGCUUUAUAGGUGAAGCUUUUGGUGUUAAAGCUUUAUAAGUGAAGCUUUGGGGUUGAAGCUUUAUAGGUGAAGCUUUAUAGGUGAAGCUUUUGUUGGCACCAUAGAUUGAUUUUGCUUCACACUAUCUUGAUGAAGAUAGUGCGAAGCUUUUGAGAUUGAGAUGUGUCCUCCAUUGAUAAAGCUUUUGUCGGUGUGUCUCCGGUAUACCAUGGUGGACUCAAAGAGAUUAAGGUGUUCAAUCGGGUCUUCCCUUCCAGUAUAGAGUUGUAAGUCAAGUUUCUACUUUGUCUUCGCUUAGAGGGGGGUGUUGAUGAUCCUUCUUGUGAGGGGGCCAGGCCUGGGUGGGUUCCAGUCAGGUAUCUCGGCUUAACGUUCAACCUUCAACUUGUUUACUUCCUCCAAGAGUUGUAGGACAAGGGGAUCCUGAAUGGAGUCGUGCACCACUGAAGUUUUCUUUCAUAAGUCCCCAUCGCCUCUUGGAAGUAGGAAAGUUUGAUCAAGAUAACGUGAUUUUUCCUUGGACUCGCCACACUGACUCCUAGAGUGAGUAUGUCGGAAUAUUUCCGAGUCCCCUGUACCUUCAUGUUCUUCUGGGACUUGUUGCCCAUUCCCUAGAUUGGCUGCUGGCCUGGGUCGUGGAAGAGGACCGAGUCUUUCAGAAAUUCUUGGGUCAUUGAUCUUCGAGCUUAUGUGGAUGAGAUUCUCUCGACGUUGCUUUAGGAAGUCUCGAUAAUCGCGAUAGACGGCUUUUGAUCCUUCCACUCCCUCUGUGAGGAGGUGUUUUCCUCUACUUCUUCUGCUUCGGGUUGAAGCAGCUGGGUUGAGAGAAGUCUCAUGUUGAUUAUCACAUUGAUGUGUAGCUCGAUCCCUGUCAGGGAUGUCCGUGUUGGAUAUCGGUAACCCUCCGUGUUGGGGGGCAUUUAGAUGAUUGUUGACCUCAACAGGGGCGACGAGCUUGUGUGUUUGAGCAUGCCUAGCCUCGUGAAGCAUCUCGAAAAGUUUUUCAUAUUGUUCCUGGAGGACCUCAUUCUUCAUCACUAUCUUGUUGUUCUGAACCUCUAGCUCAUCGACUUUAGCUUGAAGAGUAACUCUAUUUUUUUCCUGCUUUCGUUGCUUCAUACUAGGUCCAAGGGGGGUGUCAUUUUGUGUGCUAUGGCUUCUUUCGCUCCCCAUGUCGGAGAGAUGCUUGGCCAAAAGAAAGUGUACGAGCGGUGGAAACCAGCUUGACAAAGCUGAAGAGAGUGGGAAUAAGUGUCGUUCCCACAGACGGUGCCAAAUGUUGAUGCACAAAAUCAGUGAAGACUUUGGUACAACAGAAAGUGUCAGGUUUUGUGACCUUCGCUUGGUUGCUUCGGUCACUAGUGAGGAUAAGUAUGUAAAUGAAUAGAGACAGAGAAGCAAACACAAGAUAUACAUGGUUCACCCAGAUUGGCUACGUCCACGGAGUAGAGGAGUUCUCAUUAAUUGUGAAGGGUUUACACAAAUACAUAGGUUCAAGAUCUCCUUUUGUGAGUUCUAGUGAAUAGUUUAGUACAAAAUGACAUUAGAGAUUAUUGUGGGAGAAUGAUCCCUAUUUAUAGAAGAGAGUUUCUAGUUUUGUUCUGACAUUGACACGUGUCGUGUUGUGAUUGGCUUCUGAUGUUGACACGUGUCGCGCUGUGAUUGACUUCUGAUGUCGACACGUGUCGCAUUGUGAUUGGCCUCCUGGUUGAAGGGAAGCUCUUCUGGGUCCUUGACGGUAUAAUGUUGACCGGUGCUCAGUAGUUUCGGGAUUGAUCAAGUAUGGUACAAACAGAGACCAUGUUAAAUCUGCAAUAUUUUAUUGUAUGUGAUGUAAAACUAGAGGGUUUCAGCGAUAAAAUGCUGGAGCUAAUCGUAGCAGCUUAACAAGAAUAUUUCAUUGGAUAAAAAAGCUUCACUACCGAAUAAAGACAACUACUUAGCGAGCAAUCUGAGCCCUUCAAUCUAAGAAACUAAUAUGGUGCAUACACUUGUCUUAUGUAAGUCCACACCUAAUUCACUAAUAAAAAAAUAAUACUAUACGUUACAUUGUAGGAUUAAACCAAAUCUCAUUUAGUUUCAAACGUUUAGGCCUUUUGAAUAGUCAAAUGAUUUUAUAUAGGUUUUUUUUAUUAAAAACAAAUGAUAUUAUCUAUAUUAAAGGGUAAAUGAGUGUGAUAAGUCUCGCAAUGAGCUAAUUGACUUCUAUAUGGGCUUUUAGACUUUAGGUAUUAUAUAGGAUUCUUUUUAGAUUUUAACCUAAAUGAUUUUUUAAAAUCUAAUUUAAGUCCCUGUUUUUAAAACUUACCAUAUUUAAGUAAGGAUUUUUUUCUUAACAUCCCAUAUGUUGUUGAAUACAUCCCACAUACAAAAUUUAUACAAAAUAACUUGGAAUGUAAUAUUUAAUGACUAUUCAAGCACUCACAACCACUCUCACUCUCCAUUCUAGAACAAAACCCUCAAAACACAAAUAUGUUGAUGAAGAGAUAUAUAAUUUUUUAUGAAUAGAACAUAAAAUCGAGUUUUGGCUCCCCGUUCAUUGGUUGGUUUUCGCUUUUAGGAAAUUAUUUAAAUAAUGAAAUAUAAAAUUGACUUUUUGUCAAGCCCUACUCUAAUUGAAAUCCAAAAAAUAGGAAGAAAAGUGGAGGGUGUUGUAAAAUUUAGAUAUAAUUAUAUGUAUUAUUGUUGUGGCUAUUUGAUGAUGAAGAUGUUUCUUGGUUGGUUGGAAUUGAAGCAAGGCCAUUAGACAUAUAACCUUUCAAAGGAAUUUGGAAUUGGGUUAUUUAUCUUUCAUAAAAUGAUGUAUGUCGAUUGGAAAUUUUUAAACAAAUAAAUGUGUUCUUUUUACAAAUCUAAAAACACAAAUGGAAAAGCCAUUUAAACAAACUGACAUGUCCUUAUAAGAACGGUAAGCGUUCUUACCGUUUGUCCAUCAAAUUUCCUAGAAUCCAAUGUGAUUAUUCAAGAAAAUGUGAGAGAGUACUUUGAUGUCUAUAUAAGUACAGGUACAAAUGUAUCCCACACUAGUUUAGGUAUGAAUGUAUCCCACACAAUGUAAUUAAUAUUCGAAAAUUACAAUUAAAUGCCAAGAAACUAGAGUUAGUUUCUAAUUUUAGACAAGGUUUUAUUCAAAAAGUAAUCUUUUUCAUGAAGUGGAAUAGAAUUUUCCGUUUUUCAUAGUACACUUCGAAAUGUAAUGUGUAUAUUUAUAAGUUGUUGAAAGAUCAUAACUCAUAAGUCAAUUAGAAAAGAAAAGUAUUUCUUGAGAUCCUUUUCUUCUAAUUUAAUUUGUAUUCAUCAGCAGGCAUGGAGAUUGUUAGUCUAAUUGUCGGAAUAGUUGACAAGUAUGCAGUUGAACCAGUUAUACGCCAAGUGGGUUACCUAACUCACUGCAGAAGCAAACUUGACAAACUACGGACUCAAGUGAACGAAUUAAGUGCCGCUAGAGAGGGGCUAGCGCUUGAGGUUGUUCGAGCUGAAGAAAGAGGUGAAAAAAUCCGAACUGACGUCCAGAACUGGCGGAAAGACGCGGAUAAGAUCACCGAGGUGGCGAACGAAUUAUGGAAGCCUGAUACGCAAGCAAAGAUGAGCUGUCUCCGUGGGGUUUGUCCAAACCCGGUGCUCCGUUACAAGCUAGGCAGGAGAUCAACAAAGUUGAAGCAGGCGGUUGUUGAACUCUACGCAAAAAAAGAUUUCGCUAUAAUUUCGGACAAUGUCCGCCCACAAGAUGUAUCCGUGGUAUCUGACAAACAUUAUGAGCCAUUUGAUUCGAGGACUUUAACUGUCAAGAAGAUCAUGGAUGAACUGAGAAUUCCUAAUACCGACCUGAUUUUGGUGUAUGGUAUUGGAGGCGUGGGGAAGACCACACUGGUUGAAGAGGUCCUUAGGCAAGCUGUAAAAGAAAAGUUAUUUGCUGAUGCGGUUAUGGUAAGAAGUGUGCAAAAUCCGGACCCUGAAGGAAUUCAAAAAGAAAUUGCCAUAAAAUUGGGUAUGGAAGUUAAAGAAAGCGAAACUAUGUCAAUAAGAGCACCUCGUCUAUGUGACAGGGUAAAAGACAAGAAAGUUCUUGUAAUUUUAGACAACAUUUGGGAAAGCAUUGACUUGGAGGCGGUAGGACUUCCUUGUCUGCCGAAUUGUAGAAUACUUUUGACAUCCAGAACUCGAAAACUGCUAUC